ACUGAUUCAGGUGAUGGAUUCGGAACUUCAGUUUUAGAUGUUUGGGAUUCAUGCUUUGCAGCAGCUUGCAGCACCCGGUUUUGAACAUCUGAAGAUGAAGGUGAUGUAGGUAAACCAAUGCGGUUGUUUUCCAGUUUUCCUGCUGCCCAUGAAAAUGCCUGGACUCCAAGUCUAACAGGAGAGAGAAAACACCUUCAAAGAAGCGUUUGAAAUCCUAGUUAAUCAAGAUCUCAACAAUCCAAAAACUUGGUUAAACAUGAUCCAACUACUGAAAAGAAUCCAACUGUGAAAAUGAUUAAAUAACUUCUAAACGUCUGGUGGAGGUUAGGAAAUAUGAACCUUGAUAAUGUCAUAGGCAGUUUGCUUAUCAACACGACUCAGACUUCUGACAUGAUCAGAACAUGGUCAAGAACCUAGUGUUGAAAGAACAUUUAGACAAAGAAGAGAUUUGCUAUAUAUAAAUUUUUCCGUGCCCUUUACUGUGCAAACACCAAGGUUCAUUUUGUUAAUAAAAACUCAUCGUCCCAGUAAACAUGUGAUUUGGGUUGCUAAAUAAUGUUGUACUAACAUAUGACACCUAUCUAUCUAACAUGAUACUAGGUGCGUCUUAUAUAAUUCAUUGAACAUGAAUAAACAUAGACUUGAUUUCAGACCUGGUUUCCAUUAUGAUUUACAAAAUUGUGCCAAUUACACCAUAAAUACACAUCUUGCUUAAAAUCUUCAGGGCCAUUGUAAGAAGCAACCCGCUGAUAAAUAGUCUGGCAGAGUGUGAGAAACCAAUAAUUAGAGAAACUCAAGGUUCACUUAACUAAAUUUAGCAAUGACAUAAACCUUUCCCUAGGACACAUGCAAAAUAGACAAAGGGAAUCUAGCUUAAUGGUCGUAUACAUGCUAUUUUCAUGGAUUACAUCAAAGGAUCUGAGAAUUAGCACAAUAUCAGAAUGUGUGAAGUUUGUUUUAAUCAUUAUCAGCUUACAAAUCAACAUCUAUGUGUGUGUGAAAGAAACAUUAACCAGAGCACUAUAACAAAUGAAAGUGUACCUGACUGAGGCCAAUGAUGGCAAUAAAUUGUAAGGUCUUCUCCCACUCUGAAACAAAGUUCAAGCUUGGUUGGCAAGAAGAAUGUGAGGAAAGCAACAAAAAAGAAAAGAAAAAAAUAAAGAAAACCAGAAUUUAUAUCAUUGGUUCUAUAUAAUACAACUGAAGUAUUUCAAACUCUUCAACAUUUUGGGGAGUUGUUCUUGAAAAGUAAUAGAGAGCCUGUCCAUGAGGAAGAAAAUGUACAAACCUAGCAAUGCAUAUGAUGCUGCAGCAAAACCCUGUCCACAGCGUAAAUAUAGUAUAAGUAAAGGAUGCACUGGACAUUUGCAUGGUAAGCAAUAGAUAUUUAUCAAUCAUGGAUUGAUGAUUAAUGAAGACCUGAUGUAAACAGCAUGAAUAGUUCUAGUUAAUCACGUACACAUAUUUGUGGAAGCAUGUCUCUAGACCAUACAGAAGCAUACAUUCAAAACAGAGAAAUCAACCUGAAAUUAUUUUAUGUCCUUGCUACAAAAUAAAAAGAUCAUUCCCAUCCCAUAAACACGUCUCUCUAGAUACAAGAUAUCCUUUAAAACAAAAGGAUGGAUUUUGGGGAAAAGAAAUCCAAGUGUAGAAAUGAUUGAAAUAGACUAAUCAUAGUGCAGUAUCACAAAAAGCAAUCUGAUUUCUUACCACACCAUACCCAAGUGUUUGCACUGGUCAAGGUCUGAUAUCUUAUAGAAUUGCUUCAGCCUCCUGAAAUGAUGCCAAGUUGUCACAACUCACAAGUAUAUUGUGAAAAGCUUAGAUCUUGCACAAGAAAAUCAAGCACUUCCAGAAAAUACUUGUAAUUAUAAUUUGCAAUCCAUGAAAAGAAUAGCACAGAUUGACAAAGCAUAUUGAAUGUAAAUCCUACACGACCAAAUGGUCUUAGCAACAAGAAAAAUAUUGAUUGAAAUGCGAAGGUUGUUGAUUUGUAUGAAAAAGGAGACCAACCUUCCUCCCAGAUUGUAAAAUGAUCCAACAAGUCAGCUUGUUGCAUAUAUCAAAAUAACUUUCUGAGUUGUAAUGAAUCAUAUCAACUUGUUUGAUUGAAUGUUUCAAAACGUUCAUGUAGACUUGGGCUCAGAUACUUGGGACACAACCUCUUGUUGAUUUCUUACUACAUUAUCUGCACAACAACUUCAAGAGUUCUUUAAUCAGUUGCACCCAACACCUCGGAAAAUUUACGAAAACUACUGUUCAACUAACAAUCACUUCUCCAACUGAAUUCCAUAUAAUUCAAUCUGGUGCACCAAAGAAAUAAUUCAAUCUGAACCAAAAGUCUUUAACAAGAGAUGCCAAUUCUAACACCAUUAGAUUGCAUAAAGACAAAGUAAUCAUUUUUCUCAAGAAUCAACACUUGGAUACUGUGCAUAAUUUCACUUCAUAAAUCUGUGCACCGUCAUGCUUCGAAACAUAUACAAUUCCUAUGGCCUGCAUACCCAGUUUAUGGUAGCCCAUCAAUUACAUAUACACAAACACUCAGGAUGCACAUGUUCAUACAAGUGUGAUUGCACAUAGCACACUCUUUUUAUUUUUAUUUUGAAAUCUCUCUCUCUCUCUCUCUCUCUCUCUCUCUCUCUUUGCACCGUCAUGCUUCGAAACAUACACAAUUCCUAUGGCCUGCAUACCCAGUUUAUGGUAGCCCAUCAAUUACAUAUAUACAAACACUCAUGAUGCACAUGUUCAUACAAGUGUGAUUGCACAUAGCACACUCUUUUUAUUUGUUUUUGAAACAAGUCUCUCCACGUAAAUUUACACACGCACUGCACAGACACAAGUGCAUCUCAUAUGCCUCUGUGUGUGCAUGUUGUUCUAUGCUGUGUGGAUACCAUUUUGAUAGUAUCCAUUGGGCACCAAUGUGCACCCAGCAAAGAAAUUUCACUCUUUCCAUGUGUUUUUGAAACAAAUGUCAAAUUAAUCAAUUCUCUAAGUUUAUCUCAGCUGGCUGAAUAUAUUAUUGUAUAAUCUACAGCUUGUCAUUUUCCACACAUAUACUUUGAGUUGAUCGAUGGCUUUCAGCAAAUAGAAUUUUGUAUUUCUAGAAAUUUAUACUAGUUAAGAGAAUAUGCAAGUCAUGCAAUAACCUUACCUCAUUAAAUAUGGUUAGCACGGUCUCAGGUUUAAGCUCCUUGGCUUGGAUACCUUGUUUUACCCAAGACUGGAAGCCAUCUUGGACCAAGUAUGGUCUCUGUCACAUAAAAAUGCAAACAAACAAUUAGCAAUAUGAUACAAUAGGUUGUGGUUCCAGAUUAACAAUAGACUCACCUGGCAGUUCAAAUUUUCUUAUAAUGCAGGUCACAAGGUUUAAUUCUGUAAAAUUCUACUAUCUUCUGUAUCUAAAUUAUAUGAUUAGUCCAGGAAUGAACCAUGAUAUCAUCUAGAAUUCAUGCAUUUAACUUGUUUCUCUGCAAGCCAUUUACACAACAAUACAACCCAGCAAUCUAUGGAGUGAAAUAAAAGAAUAUUGAAAUUGAUUAAUACAUUGCAACUUCCCAUUCAAGCAACGUAAGGACUUUUUUUUUUUUGAGAGAGAGAGAGAGAUAUUUUAAGGACACAUGUUAGAUGUAAUACUAAUGUGCUUUCUGAAUUAUACCACUUGAGAACAACAGGGAUGAAAAUUGGGUUCUAUCUACAGCAUUUAUCAGACAGAAAAACAUUCAUAAGGAGUAAUGGUUUUUGACUUGACAACAUUGUAAAUGCACAAAAGACAUUAAUGUACUCUUCCCAAAUCUGGUUAAUAUGGAUAUUGUUAUUUGUUUCUAAGGUUACUGAUACUGAAAAACUCUCAGAAAUGUUUUUUAUCCCAAAGAAACUUGACUAAGGGAGAGUGGAUAAAUUCAUUUCACCCUUCUAGUUCCACGAUGAAUUAGAUGUUUAGGCUUUUAUGUGAUAAAAAAAAUCUUAGAGAUUCUAAAUACUUUCCUUAACCCCAAGCUUUCUCAAGGAUCUAGUGAUGCCUUUAGAACGAGAACCAUCAGCAUCCAUAACAAUUACCUGGUAAAUUUGAGACGAUGUUCCUGCUUCAGGAUUUAAACAUGGAACACUCAGGAGAUUGUGAUGUAGCAACUGUACUGCAUAUGGUAAUACCAAAACAAUUUCUUGUGUCCUCAGAGGCCACUAAUGCUAAAACACACAACAUUGAUGAAACCAAGCCAAAAUCCCCCCCCUGAGAAUUUCCUUUCUUUCUUGCACUACUCAGAAUUCUCAUUUUUCUGAAUGUCUCGAAACAAAGACGGCAUGCAUAAACAAUAGUUAUAUCGAAGCUCUUAAAACAUAAAGCUAUACCUGUACAGCUUUCAAGUUUUGAAUGACUGCAGUAGUUAUGAUGUCAUCAAGAUCUCGUCCACCCUUUAAAAGCUUCCUUACUGGGCCAUCAACCUGAAUAAAGUUGAAGAAUAUAAGACAGAGUUAUGAAAAAGGGAUACAGCCAAGCUCCAAUUCUUGUUUUAUUUUUUUUAUUGUUGGUUCAAAGAGUUAUUUGACAUUUAGAAACAAAGUAAUUGUUCUAAACUAUCAUCCUCAUACCAAAUAGCAAUACCUCUCCACUCAUAGCUUUUGAAUAGUAUUAUCAAAUAAAACCAACCUCUGGUAGAGUUACAAUUGCAUAGCGAAACCGAGCAGCUCGCCUAAGAUCAGGAAUGCCAUCUCUUUCUCUGAGAACCUUCAUAUAAACAAUGUCCACCAAGUUCAAUGCCAAGUUAAGGGGCAAAAAAAGGAAAUUAAUGAGGGUGCCAGAUUUGAGAUUUUUUUACUGUGAUGUAAAAAAUGUCUGAGCAGUCAGCUUUAGUAUCUCUCAUUGAGGUACUAAAAUUUCUAACAAAAAAGAAACUUAGGAAGAUAAAAGGCCAGAAAAUUUACUCUCUUGCCUCAGGCCGGACAUCAAUAAGUAUGGCGUCUUCCUUCCCUGCCAAGAGCUCCAAAGUUAAUUGCGGAGACAAAUCUCCAGAGUAACCACCAUAUAUCCACACCCUAUAAAAACCCCUGCACAAGUCUGAUAGAAAACUUAAGCUUCCCAUGUAAUGCAGAUUAAAUAAACAAAUCCUUCAUGCACAAAAGGACAUCCAAACCACAAAGUGGCUGAGGUUCCAAGGAAAAGAACAAAAGGCACAACUGGAUCAUUUGGAUCCAUGCCAAGACUUUUCUCCAGCCCCUCAAUAGCAAUGUAAACCUGCUUAAGGUGUAAAAGCAGGUUUAGGAAAUUCAGCUUUGGUUUUGGAUCAUAAAUUAGUUAGAUCAGCACAUAAUUAAGCAGUGUAACAGAGAUGGACGCAAUUGAGUUUUCAACUACAAGUCCUGUAAGCUGAAAGCAGUGACUGAUGUCUCCAACAAAAAGAUUUCUAAAAUAAUCCAAAUAUAUCUUUGCACGAGAUUUUUUUUUCAAUUCCAUACAAUUAAACGAGAGUACAAUGGCCAUCAAAGUAAAACGUGCCAAGCAUAAUGUACCUGUUGAAAAGUUGCACCAAUUGGCCUCAAAAUCUCUGUUACCCUUUCUUCAGACAGAUUCAGUGCACCCCUGAUCUCUGGAGGAAGCAAAUCCUUGGCAGGCCCAUAAGAAUAAACAACAAAAGAAGCCCCUUUUGCUAUAGAUUCCGCCACUGUAAUGAUUGCAACUCUGAGCACAUCAACAGAAGUGCCAGUAGCUUUUUGUGUGGCUUCCCUCAAGCCAAAUGAAAAGCUAGUCAGUCUUUGGCAGCUAAUUCUUCUGUUUGAUCAAAAGUAGAGAAAACUUUACUCAAGGCACCAUCUACUGCUUCUGAAGCACCUUCCUUAAUUGAUGUUAUUGAAGAAGUAAUUGUGUCUAGUGAGCUUUGCACAACAUUUCCUCCAUUAUUUACUGAAGUGUUGAUGGAGUCCCUAACCUCGCCCAAAAAAUCAUUAAAACCAGCCUUUGCACUAGAUAAUGAAUCGUUAUCCAUUUCCAGGGAAUCAGAUCCCAAACUGGGAUUCACUGGUGUCAUAUCAAUAGUUGAUGUUAUUUCAGGUUCCACAAGUCGUAUUAAACUAUCUGUAUUAUCAGCAAACUGGUCUGCAGAGUUCAAAGGUCCUUCUUCAACAUCAGAUAUGUUAUAACUUUCUAAGAAUUUCAGUUUACCCCCUCCCAUAGGGUGUGGGUGCAGUUCAUCUAUUGCUCCAACUGAAGAAUCGCAAUCCUUAUAAAAGUUGCAAUUAAUGUUGCCUAGUUCAUUUGGGCAAGAAUGAUCAUUAAUGAAAGCAAAGCUUUCAAUAAAAUUGGAGUAGAAAGACUUUAUAGCUUGUGUUUUGAAGGAAAUUCUUUGGUGAUGUGUUAUAUUUGACAUUCCCAAAAGUACCAUGUCUACAACAUAACAUCUGGACUCGAAAUCCUUCCAGACUGAGCAAAAUGGUUGCAGACCUCCAUGGAAUGUUAUCUGCAGUAGUUGUGGUUUCAAAUACAUGAAUGAAAUUUUUGACAACAGAAAUACCAUGCCAGAGGUAUAUGAAGAAAUAUGUGACAUGAUAACACAAAACUUGGUGACUUGAUAACCGAUGUGCAUGGAAGUUACUGCCUGCAAGGCUUCACUGAAAAUUGUCAAAUUCUGUUCUUUAAAGGUGGCAAGGAAUUUGUAUAUUGAAGAGUCUCACAGACCUCAUAUCUUAAUUUUAUAUUCUGAUGUAAGUAAUCAGAUUAAGAGCGUGUUUGACAUUGCGGUAGCGGUUGCUUUCAAAGUGUUUUUUGUUCGAAAACACAUCAAAAUAAUGUUUUCUUCAUUUUUUAAAAUACAUUUUUGACAUCAGCACAUCAAAACGGUCCAAAAACAUCAAAAAAAUAAUUUUAAGCAAAAAUAAUUAUAUUUUUGGCAAACGGUGUUGUGACAGCAAUGCUAAACACACUCUAAGUGGAGAGAAAAUGCCAUCAUAAUCCAAUGCAAAUGAGAAGAAAGUUGGUGCUAGGGAAUCACACCCAGAUGCUUAAUCUACUAAACGGAGAUGUACAAGCAGAUUAUUAGGCCAUGCAAAACUUUCUGCUAGAUUGUUAAGGGAUUUACUCAGCAUCCCUCUGAUGUGUAGGCCUAGAAGGAAGAGCAUGAGAAUCAAUUCAAAACCUUCACUUAGGCACAUAAGCUCUACAUGAUGUCAUACUGACCUUUAUGCUUAAACAGUUGAAGCUUAAUUUAUACCUUCAUUCAAAACCUUCACUUAGGCACCCCAGAUUUUUCAACUCAAAUACAUCAAACAUAUUAUAUAAAGAGGCAGACAUGUCUAGGUGCACCAUUUUUUUUCUUUUAUUUUUUGACACCAGAAUUUUUCUCUUAGUGAAAGUUCAAUUAUAGUCCUGGCUUGUUCUCCACCUAAUUAGAGGUCAUGCAUCUCCAAAACUAAGGGCAUAGAUGAAAUCCGAGGUACAGGGAUGAUAGAAACUUGGCAACAAAACGAAUUAAAUUACAGUCUAGGAAGUGAAACUCACCUGAGAAUGAGAGGAACAACACUGAGUGGCAGAGCAAACAGGCAACAUCUUUUGUUAACUCAAUAUAAACCUUAUCAAAAUCACCAAGCUUCUUUGUUCUGCAUGAAAGUAAGACUUUACAAUUAAAAUGCAGUUCAAUCUCCAAAUUCGCCCAUGAAAAAAAGAGCAGUAAUUAAACCAAGCUAAGUUGAAUAAGGGUUAUUUAUAUUUCUGACAAGCAAUCCACUUAUAAGAGGAUUCCUUGAAAUUCAAAAAAAAAAAAGUAACCUCUUUCUCGAAUAGUGAAAACAGAUGGCAUCAAUGUGGAUCAAAACUACGAAAGACAAGUUAGAAAUGGAUCAAAAUGAGCAAAACUGAACCAUGACCGCUUCAAUUCAUUAUACCAAGAUGAACGAUCCUUAAGUUGGCUUCUAGAAACUCAAGCUUGAGCUCCAUUUUUAAACAAAAUCAUGAAAAACAAAGAACUCGUUCCACAAAACAACAUAUUCAAGUGUAUAACUCACAAGUAAGUAAAACACACUAAGCUAAAACAAACCAAACCGGAGAUUCAGAACAAAUGAACCAAUUCCCCAAAUGGGUUCCUCACAAUACAAUCACUAACACCAUGAUACUACAAAAAGUGACGUCCAAGUACAGCAUUCAACAAAAAAGAUGACAAUUUACAACACGGUAAGCUAAGCUAAAUCAAACCACCCACUUCGAAAAAGAACUAAAACUUACUCAAAUCUAGGAAACUGAAAAUGGGUAGUGGAAUUUGUGUUGCGACUUGUCAAAGGAAACAAUAUAGAUCAUGGUAGAGAAUCGAAUCGUGUGGCUUGUCGAUGCCGUUAGCUCAUCUCUUUGGUUUCUCUCUGCCUCUCGUUUCUGCAGGUGGGGACCGACCAUAGAUUUCAUACGGGCCCGGGGUCUGAUCGAAUCCAAAACCCGAUUAGCUGAUUGGCCGAUUGAGCAAAGUCAAUUUCAAAACUAAUUGUUUUUAGUUUUAUUUUUAAAACUAAAAAAAUAUUGUUUUCAAAAAAACAAAUUAGAUAUUUCACUCAUGUUUUGCUAUGAAUUAGAUUUUUUUAAUAAAAAAUUUCUAAUUAUAAAUUAAAAUGUUGAUAUAUACAAUAAGUUACAUAAAUUAAUAUUUGAUCAAUAAAUAACUAAAUAAAAUUAAGAUAUUUAAUAACACAAAAAAAUUAAAUGUGAAAAAAAGUAAAAAGUAAAAGAAUAAAGAUCUUUUUCUUAAAAAAUAAAUAUUAGGGGUGAAAUUAAAAAAAAAAUUAUAAAAAAAACUAAAAAGAUAAAAAUCUACACGUGUGAACUUUUGAAACUCAUGAUCAUGACAAUGAGGCAAAGAUUGAGGAAAUCGACUGCAUAGAAGAUAAACACUAAAAAAUAACAAAAUAAAAUUUGAAAUAAAAAGAUGCCUCCAAUUAAAUUGAAAAUAAAAUAAAAUAAGAUUUGAGUUGUUCGAGUUAACCCGGGUUAACACGUCAACCUUAUGACCAUGUGUAUAAGAAUGAGAUAAUUCCACAUAAAGAAAAGAGAAAAAAAAAAGCAUGAAGACCAAUUCUAAAAAAUCUAACGUUAAGGGACAUAAAAAAGACCAAAAUCACCUCAUGUCAAUUUUCAAAACUCAUGAUCCUAGUCAUGAGACUAAAAUUAACCUUAUAGAAGCUGAAAAAAAAAAGAAACAAAAUUCUCUAUAAAAAAUAACGAGGGAUAAAAUUAACAAAGAAAAAUGCAAUAAAAAGAAAGGAUCUUAAACAAAAUAAACAUCGAUAAAAAUAACAAGAACAAAAUUCGAUAUACAAAAAUUAAAAUCAAAUGCUAAGGAUGAAAGUAAAAAAAACUCAAUUAAUAAAAGGAUAAAAUAUUCUAAAGAAUGAAAACUAGGUUUGAUAUAAAAAAUUAAAUUAAACCAAAUAAUUAGAAACAAAAUUGAAUAUAAGAAUAAAUCAAAAGAAGUUAAAAAAACAAAACAAAUAGCAAUAAAAAAAAUAGAAGAAGGAAAAAAAACUAAUGUUGAAUGUGAAUUUUUUUUUUUUUGAAAACAAAACUAAUAUCAAACGAUAAGAUAAGAAAAACAAUAAGCUAAAAAAAAGAUUUUAGUCCAUGUUAACCUUUUAAACUCAUGAUCUAGGUUAUUAGACAAAAAGUACCAUAUAUGAAAAAAUCAUGAAUCCUGUCCCUAACAAAUUAAAUAUUGAAUGAUGAAAUAAAAAAUCAUUAAUGCAAAAUAUUUUUUAAAAAAUUUAAAAAUAGUAAUUAAACGAAUGAGGAUGAAAUUGAAAUAAAAAAUAAAUUAGAAGGCAAAACCAAUUUUUUUAUUAAAGGGUUAAAUUGAAAAGAAAUAUAAUUUUAACAAAAGGGGAAAAUCAAAAGAAUGAGGACCGAACUAGAAAUAUAAUACACCAUAAAAUUGGAUUGAAUGAUGAAAAUAAAAAAUAAUAAAACUUUCACAAACAGGGCAAUGAAAAAAUUUAGAAAUCAAAUAACAAGGAUCAAAUUGAAAAAAAUAAUAUAUGAUAAAUUGAAAUUGAAGAACUAAAUUAAAAACAAAUAAAACUUUACAAAAUGGUUAAAGAAAAGAAUUAAAUAUGGAAAGAAUAAGGAUCAAAACUGAAAUAUCAAUAAUAAAAAUGACCAACCUGUAAUAUUUAAAAGAGAAAAGAGAAAAUAAAAAAAAUAACUUAUCAGCAACAAACUAACCUCCAUUAAAAGGGCAAAUUUGACCACUAGAGGCACGAGCACGUCUUCCAAAGAGUACAAGUGUUCCCAUGUGAUGAUAUGUGAAUUGUAUGCAUCAAUAAGUUUUUGAGUUUAAAAAUUAGUUAAUUAUUUUAAAAGGACUAAAUUGUUCAUUAUAGUUCUGGAAUUAAAAAAAAAAAAACCUAUGUGAAUAAAAAAAAAUCUCUAGACCAAUGAUUGAUUUUUUCUUGAUUUUCAAGAGCAAAUAUGUUUUUUUUUACUGUAUCUAAAAAAACCUAAAUAUACUUAAUAAACAACAUUAGAUUUUUUUUAUACGGGGUUUUAAAAAAUCAUUUUAUCAUGCAUAAGAAAUAGAAAAGUUACAUAUGUCCUAGUCAAAAAAUUGCCCUUAACUCGUAAGCUUUUGGUUACAUAUAUGUUUCCCGGUCAAAUAAUUAAUUGACCGAUGCCAAAAAAUUGAAUUGCCCUUAACUCAUAAGCUUUUGGGUUUUUCUUAGAAGGGGAAAAAUAUAAUUAAACUGUCGCAAUAAAUAGUUUUUUUUUGGUCUAUAUGCAUAGUAUUUUCUAUAGUAUUUUGGUAACAUUUUUAUUGUUUCUAUUAAUUAAAAAAAUUAUUAAAAUUGACUCUCUAAUUUUACCAGAUUAAUGUCAUGUAUUUAUGAUUUAAAGAAUAGGAUUGCAGGGGUGAAAUCAUCUACACCGAUGAUUUUGCUAGUGCUUUCUGCAUAAGAUCACAUCAAAAUGGAGUCAUUCGUUUUAAUUUUUCCAGAUUCCUUGGAAUGCUGCUAGUUAUUUUGGUGCUCUGCAAUGUUUUGUGGAGUAACGCAGGACGUUGGCCAUAUCACUUGAUAGUGAUUUGGCUUACUGUUAUAUAUCAGUCAGUCAGUAACAAUGGUGGUGGAUAUACUGCUCCAUUGCCACCAGGCUGGGAGAAGCGAUCUGAUGCAGCGACAGGGAAAACGUAUUAUAUUGAUCACAACACUAGAACUACAACCUGGAAUCAUCCAUGUCCAGAUAAACCUUGGAAGAGAUUUGACAUGGCAUUUGACGAGCUCAAGAGAUCAACAACUUUAUCUCCUCUGUCUCCGCUGGCUAAUCUUUUCGUUCUUGCCGGCGAUAUCCACGCCACACUUUAUACUGGUUCAAAAGCUAUACAUAACAAGUUCUUCCCAAUGAAAUAAUAUAUAAUAACCAUUAUAAUAUUAUGUGAAGCCAACAAAGUCCUCAGUACGAGCAAACACUUGGAUCGAAGACUUGAUGCCCUUCCCUACCAAAUAAAUAAAUAAAAAAAAUAACAAGACAUGAAGCAUUUUGUACAUAGAAUAUUUUUAGGAACUAUUUUUAAUUUAUUUUUAAUUAAUUUUUUUAUUUUCAUAUUAUUUUGAUGUGGUUAUAUCAAAAAUAAAUUUUAAAAAAUAAUAAUAAAAUUAUUAUUUUGAUAUAUUUUCAUAUAAAAAAAACUAUAAAAAAUAAUUAUUGUCACAAUACAAAAUAGAUUCUCUAACAAAUUCUUCUUAAUCAAAUCAUCAUAAUCAUUAUUUUGUUUUUUUAUAUUAUUUUGAUCUCCUUGUAUCAAUUACCCUGUAAACGUUACCCAUCUCUGCUGCUUUUAUGUUUCUUCUCUCAACUGAAUGGGUUCGGAGCUAAAUUUCCUUUCCAGGUUGUUGAGUGAAUUUGAGUUUAAAAUUCCCUUAAUUCAUUAUUGUGUUCAUUAUAUUUGUUCUUUAUGCUUAUGUCCAACCACCUGUUAAAGACAAUGCUAUGAGAUGAUCACUUCCUGUUUAAGGUGUCGUGGGUAAUGCUGGAUGUUUAGCAAUGUUUAGCUUUUGAUUCUUAAUUGCUAGACAUCUAUUUUAGGCAGGAGAUAACUUCACAUUAAGAGAGUUAUCUGUUCACUUUUUGCCAAUUUUGAAUUAAAGAAGGAGAAAAGUACUGAUGGAUCAGUCUUUAGUUUGCGCUACAUAUUUGACCCAUGUUUCACCACGGUUUAGAUAUAUUUUUUUUCAAUAAAAAAUUUAUAUAUAAACUUUUUCAACAUGUUUUUGUAUUUUAAAAAAAUUCUAAGUGAAAAUUAAAAAACUUAUAUGUACAUUUAAUCAAAUAAAUUAAGAAUUAUUUGUGUUAAUAAGUGAAAAAAUCAAUAAACGAUGACUAAAUAUAAAAAUUAGAAAAAUCAAGAGACGUAGAUCAAGAUAUUUAAUUUCACAAGACAUGACAUUUACACGGUUGUAUUUGCUAAUUUGUUAGUUAAAAUAAUGUUUUUAUUCAAUCAAACGAUAAUAAAAAUAAACACACAUUAAAUUGGUUGAAUAAAAUAAAAGAGAAAAAAUAAUAUGCAAGGCUACACAUAUUAGAAAUAUUAUUUGAAAAUAAUUUUUUUUUUAUUUUCAAAAAAAAAGUUCAUUCUACCUAGAGACGCCUUUUUUUAUAUUUUUUUUAGUUGAUUAUUAACUCAUUUCAAAGAUCACUAUAUAAAUGCUAGAAGAAUGUUUUAUUUUUAUAAUGUGAGAUUUGAAGCUCUUUAGUAUAUAUACUCUAUAUUCACAAGAAAAAAGUUAUGUUUUUUCAGCGUGGGAUAAUAAACCUUUUUGGUUUAAAAACUUCAACUUAGAAGAAUAAGAUAGUUUCUUUUCAAUGUGGUAUAAAAACCUUUUGAAAUAAUCUUUUAAACUUAAUUAUUUAUAAUAUAUAUAGCUAUUGGGUCUGGCUUGUAGACAGACCUAGAUAUAACCAAUUUUAAUUUUUUGCCUCUUUAGAUUUUUUUCUUAUGUAAUUUUUUUUCAUAUUGUAAAAUUAAAAUAAAUUAAUGAGACUUUUUAUAUAUUGUACAAAAGUUGCGUGAUUAUAUAUAUUUUUUUCAUUUGAGGUUGAGUUGGUUGAAUUGUUUUCUGCCAGCGUUGGGUCCUGCUACCUAGCAAGAUCCAAUAGCGUUAGCCCCUGCUGCAAGGUGGAAUCCAAUAAAAUUGGGCCUUAUUUCUGUUAGAACCCAAUAAGGUUGAGCCCUGCUGUCGUUCGGACUACAUAGAGUUAGGUUGCUAUCAGAUCCAAGACACUUAAUAUAUUCUCUUUAUUUUUUAUAUUUUUUAUAUUUUUUAAAAAAAUAUUAUUGAUUUGUUGGGGAGUGUAUAUCUAUAUAUGCUUGAAUAUAUAUAAAAAGAAAAGGCAUCUGCCAAAUUAUUUGGAUACAUUGUGAUUUUACAAAAUCACGGAUAUAUUAAAAUCAUGAUUUAAAAUAGCAGGUUUUUAAAAAAUACUUAUAAUGUGAAGUCAACAAAGUCCUCUGUACGCUCAAACACUUGGAUCGAAGACUUAAUGCCCUUCCUUUACCAAAUCACAACAAUAAUAAUAAUAAUAAUAAUAAUAAUAAUAAUAACAAUAACAUGAAGCUUUUUGUACAUAUUAAAUUCCUAGGAGUCAACAAUAUGCACCCUCUGUACAUGAGAAAAUAUUUUGAUGUUAUAAUAUAAAAAAUAAUUUUAAAAAAUAAAAAAAUAUUAUUUUGAUGGAUUUUCAAAUAAAAAAUACUUUAAAAAAUAACUAUAACUACAAUAUCAAAUUAGUUGUCUAAUAAAUUUUUCUCAAUCAAAUCACCAUAACCAUUAUAAUAUACCGUGAAAGCAAAUAACAAUUGUUUUUUAAAGUGUUUUUUUAUUAAAAAUAUAUUAAUAUAAUAUUUUUUUUAUUUUUAAAAAAUUACUUUUUUACAACAACAAAUCAAAUAUACUGAAAAAACAAAAAAAGAUAAAAAAAAAUUAUAAAAACAUUGUUUAUACCAUAAAGACAACCUAGUUCUAUUAUUUGAAAGACUAGAAAAAAUAAAAUAUUGAAAGAUGAAAUUAAAAAUAAAAUUAAUAACGAGAUAACAAGCAAAAACCAGGAAAAUAAUGGCAAAUGAAAUUAUCAAUUAUCAAACAUCAAUGUUCCCUCUGGUUUGAACUUUGAAUUAUGGUAACUACAUACGUAUGGAUAAACGAUCUCGAAGAGCAGAGAAUCACCUCCAUACAGGCUUUCUUUAUUGGUGGCACAAACUGAUGAUUUUGUAUACUCAACUUGAGAAAUUCAAACGAGUUAAGUACAAAACAUGAUAUUUGUACAUCUUCCAUUGCACUUUCCACUAUGAUUAACGUUGGAAAUGAUAUUUGUACAUCUUCCAUUGCAGCAAGACUCUCCAAAUUUGCACUUGUUACCACAUAUUCCACAGUUGUUCUUGUCUCCCAGAACAUUCCGGCAAUGUUUCUUGCAACAAUAAACUACCAAGCUGUUAUAUGUGUCUUUAAUGUACAAUAAACUACCAAGCUGUUAGUUUUUUUAUUUUUUAUUUUUAUAGACAAAGUAAUGAUUUCAGUUUUCAUGGGUCUUAUCAUGCAUAAGAGAUAAAAGAUGGACACGUGUUUAGUUUUCAUUUCCAAUUGAAAAUUUGGGUGGGGUGGAUUUAGUGUUCUUGUUUAUCGGCUGGUUCAUAAAAAAAAAAAAAAGUCUUCAUGGGUGAAAUUUCAAUUGACCCGGUAGGUCAAGCAGGUUUUGUUAAGCCAAUUACUGGUUUAAUUUUUAAUUGAUACAGAUCCAGCCAAGGCCACGUGUCACCAAACAAAUCAUAAAAAAAAAAGAGCGAAUAAAAAACACAACCAAUAUUAUAAUAAUAUAAUGUGAAGGCAAAGAAUUCCUACGGGGUCGAAGACUUGAUGCCCUUUCCUGCCACAUCACGGAUAAACAAAGAACAAGACAUGGAGCCUUCUUGUACAUGGGGAAUUUCCAGGAAGUCAACAAUGUGCACCCUCUGAGGUUGAUUUGAAACCAAAUCUGAGGUUGAUUUGGUCAAAAGGCAGUGUUUUGGAUUAUAUUGGUUAAGUUAAUCUAAAAAAAAUUUAAAAACAUUAUCUGAAAUUUUAAUAUUUUAUAUAAAAAAUUUAAAAAACAAUUUAUAUGAAUGAACUAUAUAUAUCAUAAAAAUUGAAGUUUAAAAAAUUAUUUUAAAAUAUUUUUCUACUUUUAAAAAUCAUAGGUAACGCCUAUAGUACCUCAACCUUCCCUUUUGUUCUUGCCCCUCCUAAUUGAUUUAAUAGUUUUCAUUUCCAGUUGAAAAUUAGGGUGUUUCAGUUCGCUGGUUUACUUGGCCGGUAAAUUGGAUUUUGAGUGUAUAGGAAACGCGGUUGAAAUCGUGUUUUUAAAAAUUUUAAUUUUUUUAUUUAAAAUAAUUUUUUUAAUAUUUUUAGAUUGUUUUUAUGUAUUGAUAUAAAAAAUAAUUAAAAAAAUAAAAAAACUUUAUUUUGAUACAUUUCUAAAUAAAAAAUACUUUGAACCGUUACCACUAUCACAAUUUUAAACAAACCCAGUACACCAAUUACCUAGCUAAAGUCCCGGUUACCAAACAAAUAACAAACACAAAUCAUAAUCAAAUCAACAAUUAUAAUGUGAAGGCAAGGAAGAGUGUGUGAUCCUUCUAGCUUAGAGUCUCACCCUCGGCUUACUGAAUUACCUUUUCAUUUUUUUUAUUUUUGGGAUUCAAUUAUGAAGUGUGGUGUUUUUUAAUAAGAAAUAUAUUAAAAUAAUAUUUUUUAAUUUUAAAAAACUUAUUUUUGACAUUAAUAUAUUAAAAUAUAUGAAAAUACUAAAAAAUAUUAAUUUAGAAUAAAAACAAUAGAAAACAAUGGCAAUGUUUUUCUUUUUCUCCCUACAUUCCCUUGAAGUAGGCUUACAAAAUUGCAAUAGAAAAUUCCAACAAGUGCAUGCAAUGUUUUCAUUUCUCAAAGUUUGCCUGUCAGUACCUUAUCUAUAUGUUUAAUUCGAAUGAACAUACGGGAAAGGUUAAAAGAUAAACAAAUGAGGUGCCAUAGCUUUCCUCAAUUCAGCAGAAAUUUGGAAAGUUCUCAGUAGGAGGUAGUUUGACAAGCACUAUCAUGCGAUGUUCUUUACAGGAUUGCUCUAGUUUUUUGCCCAACUCUUGCUUGAGGGAAGAUAUUGAAAGCACUUUUAACAAUCACAUAAUCCUCUCUCUCACACAAAAAGCCAUCUGCAUCAUGUAUACUAUAGAGCCCAUGAAACUUUGCUAGCUAAACUGAAGGACGAAAUCUUAAACACAUCAGGUGAUCAUUAGCUUCGUUCCCUAGUGCAUCUAGUUGGUCACUCCUUUAAAUCAUAUAAUGACUUUGAUGCCCUGCUUAUAUUGAGAAAGUAGCAUUGCGUGAGCCCUGUAUCCAAAUAAUCAUAUUGUUAUUAUGGUUGUGAUAAAUUAAGCUAGUUAAUAUGUUGGACCACAACAGUAAAGGGUUUGCUAGCAUGUUCUCUCUUUACUGCUUAGAACAACCCUCUAGCAUUAAUCAGAGUGAUUCCUUUGUUGUGUUAGUGAAAUUGCUGCUAUUGAUGAUGUUGGAAUUUAAGAUCCUUUAAUCAGUUAAACUCAUCAUUCACAAACAUUUUGCCUUCAUCAGGGAAAUGAGCUACAAAUAAGGCAAGCAGAUCUUUACCUCAGUGAAGGCGAGGAAUUGAGUUUCUAUGAAGUACUAUUACGAGCCCGACAGAGAAGAGAGAUAGUCAUUGGUUACCGUGCAGCUAAUGCUGAAAAGGCUGUUAUCAAUCCGCCUGCCAAAAGUGAGAGACGUAGGUGGUCACUGAAAGAUGUAUUCGUGGUAAUUGCGGAGAAGGAAUGAGGAUGAGGUUCUUCUUCAUCCUCUGAACAUGAUAUUCUUUGAAAAAAGUUCGACGGACACCGAAGAAAACAACAAUAGGAAGUGCUCAUUAGUUUCUGCCAGUCUGAAAAAAGAAAGAAAUAUAUACUACAGAUGUACAGUCACAUGUAGUAUAUUUCUUGUACAAAAACUCAACCUCAAAGUAAUGGAUUUUCUCGCUACCUAAAUAUGAAAGAGCUGUAACGUUUCCCAGGACAUGUGUUUGGAGCACUAAAUUGAUAAGAAGGCUCUACUUGGCAUGAAACAUUUGUGAUUUGCAAGAAUGAUGACUGACAGCACAGGGAAUGAAUAGCUUCAAGCUGGCUUCUUGCUUCGCAGAAGCAUGUUAUAGCAUGAUAAUUGAAGCUAGAUGGUUGGAAGUAUAUAUAUUCUGCAUCGUUCAGGACAAUCUCCUUCCUUUGGAAUACUAAAAAGAAAAAACCCUCUUCUAUAAUCUCAACGUGAAAGCAGAACCAGCCGACGCUUUGUGGUAAAAUCUUGAUAUCUGCCUGUCGCGGGGUUUCCAUCCAGGGAUGGAUUGGGGAAUUAUUCAAUCCUAAGUAGAGACUUAUUUUGACAUUACAAAAACAAUGUGUCAAACAAGUUGAAAGUAAUUAUAUGAAGAUGAAAUUGAAAUGAAAAAACAUUGGGAACGAAAACGAACAAUUGCAAAAGGGACAAUUUUUUUUUAUAAAAAAAACAGAGGGAUCAAUUAGGCGCAAUGUGGUAAAAACGGCACAGUUUUGACAAGAAAGAAGUACAAAAGCCCAUAUCCGCAAACCAUCCAAUCCUCCUUAUCCGUAUAAAAACCCAUAUCCACGAACACGCCCUCCCUCCCUCCCUCCCUCCCUCCGCAAUUCACUCUCCCAUUUCUCACUUGAAGAAGAUCAACCCAAGAAAAUGGCGGUGAAGAUUCGUUUAGCAAGACUGGGAUGCAAAAACGGGGCAUUUUACAGAAUUGUUGCUGCUGAUAGCCAUACUCCAAGAGAUUGCAAACACCUUCAAGUUGUUGGAGGUUCCCUCUUCUUCUUCUUACCCUUCUCUUAUUAUUUUCAUAUGCUCAGUUCACAUGAAGAUAUUUUUUUCCUAAUUUUAAAGACCUGGACUUUGAAGUCUUAUUGGGUUUAUUUUCAGGUUCUCAAAUAAUCAUUGCAUGGUAUGUGUAGAUAACUCUGUCAGCUUUCACUGGAUCAUCCAGAUUUCAGGUUGACUGGGCCAAUUGCUGGUCUGGUUUUCGACAGAUACAGAUCCGGCCAAGGCUCCACAUCACCAAAUAAAUCAAAGAAAAAAGAAAAAAAAAAAUCAAAACAAUUGAUUGUUGCGUGUCUAUAAUAAUAAAUAUGGCCCAUAUCACAAAUAAACAAAGAACAAGACCUGAAGCCUUUUUGUACAUGGGAAUUUCCAGGAAGUCAACGAUGUGCACCCUCUCUACAUGAGAAAAUAUUUGGAUUUGAAACCCCCAUUAUUACAAUUAUACAUGUGCCUAAGCUACUGAUUCAAAAUCAGCAUCUUUUUUCCUUGAGUUACUUCCGUUCUCUUCCUACAGACUUACCCUGCCACCAGAGUCUCACUCUUGUUUCUUCGACUGUUUCUCCACGAAACAAUGGCGAUGUUUUUCUUGUUUCUCUCUAUCUUUUUGUUUGUUUAUAUCUGGAGAUUCAUCAUACGAAGCCGUCAUAUUUCUCCAUCCCCAUCUACUCCUUCCACCUUAACCACCGCCCAGCCACAAGUAAUUAAAUAUGAUGUCUUCCUUAGUUUCAGGGGAGAAGACACUUGUUCUGAUUUUACCAGUCACCUCUAUGCUGCUUUGAACCGGAAACAAAUCCUAACUUUCAUAGAUUAUCAGCUUGUGAGAGGAGAUGAGAUUUCGGCAUCACUUCUGAGAACAAUUGAAGAGGCCAAGCUUUCUGUGAUUGUUUUUUCUGAAAAUUAUGCAUCUUCCAAAUGGUGCUUGGAGGAGCUUGCAAAGAUUUUUGAACGUAGAAAAAAUAAUGGACAGAUAGUUAUUCCGGUAUUCUACCAGGUGGAUCCAUCCCAUGUAAGAAAUCAAACAGGGAGGUUUGGGGAUGCAUUUGCUAGACUUAUAAAGAAGAAAGCUUUGACGAUGGACAAAGAGCAGAGCUUCAGAGACGCUUUGACGGAUGCAGCCAAUCUAUCUGGAUGGAGCUUAGGGAAGUCUGAGUAAGCUCUUGAAAUAUAUCCCAUAAAAAAAUAUUCGUUCAUUUGUUGAGGAUUUGAAAUUUAAUUUAAAAUUAUUGAGAAUGAUGAGCUCUGUGAAUCUAUAUUUAUUUUAUUUGAUUUUGAAAACGUUGUAGCGAAACACUUGUACAGAUCUUAAGCUUUAGGAGACAGAAAGCAGAUACUUAUGAAUCCUUAUAUUAAAUUUUAUCAGGACAAUCAAUGUUUUCUUCGAUCGUUUCACUUGAAAUUAGGGCAUUAAUAGUCUAUUAAUCUGAGGUGAAAAAGGAUUACGUUGUCUUGGAAAAUAAUAUAAAUUAUAUCUUGAGAUCUUCUUGACUUUGUUUUUUAUUGAGAUGAUUCUAUAUACGAUGAUAUGAGAAAACAUCUUAUGCAUUUGCAUGUCAUUGAUUUUCCUAGAUAAACACCGAUUACAAGUAGUUUCCAGUUUCAAAGAUUGAUUAACUGUAGCAUGAGAUAAGUAGGGAGCUGCUGCAUAUUUCUGAACUCAAAUGCAUUCACUCGAGAGGCCUAGUAAGAGAAUCUUGUCCAGGUUUAUGAAUACAUGCUCACCUUAUAAAAGAGCAGAAUAUAGAUGGAGGCUCUUCCUUUCUUUCCCACCAUAUAAUUCAGAUCCUAUACGUGCCUACUAUGUAUAGAUGUAGCUACUAAGGAGUGAGUAUGUUUAUAUGUUUGUUGUUUCUUCUAGUCUGGUCCAUUCUGACUAACAAAUAUGUGUGUGUUCUUGUUUGUUAGGCUGGAGUCCGAAUUUAUUGAAAAGAUCGUUGGAGAUGUUUUGAACAAAUUGCAUGCUAUGUCUUCAAGUCACACUACGGGUUUAUUUGGAAUUGAUGUUCGCAUUCACAAAGUCGAGUCUUUGUUAAAUAUGGAAUCUCAAGAUGUUCUCAUUGUAGGAAUAUGGGGAAUGAGUGGUAUAGGUAAGACAACGAUUUCUGAAGCUGUGUGCAACAAGGUUUGUUCUCGAUUUGAAGGAAUCUUUGUUGCAAACUUUAGGCAAGAAUUAAAAACACGUCCCAUGGCUGAUUUGCAAAGAAGCUUUCUUUCACAACUGCUUGGCCAAGAAAUUCUGAAAAUGGGCUCCUUGAGUUUUCGAGAUUCUUUUGUGAGGGAUAGACUUCGUCGUAAAAUGGUUUUUAUUGUUCUUGAUGAUGUGGAUGAUUUAAUGCCUUUGGAAGAAUGGAAAGAAUUGCUUCAUGGACGACACAGUUCAUUUGGUCCGGGCAGUAAAGUUCUCAUAACAAGUAGGGACAAGCAAGUGCUUAAUAAUAUAGUAGACGAAACAUACGAGGUUUGUUAGGAAAUGAAAUAUUCCCGUGUAUAGAAUAGCAGAGUUGUAUAAAAUAGAAGAUAUGUAUUUAUUCACUUUCCAUUGUAAUGCCUAAUAUGUCGCUACUGAAGCUACAAUGCAGCAACUGAUUCCUGACUUGUAGGAAUCAGUUGCAGCCUCCCUGUAUAAGUAUAUGAUUCAGUAUCAAUAACAAUCACUCUGGUAAAUUCAAUCUUUCUCUUCAUUCUUUUCAUGGUAUCAGAGCUGGCUUAGAAUCCUAAUCCAUUACUGCAAUUAAAUCUCUCGCCUAGCAUCUCUCUUCUUCAGCUACCAUGACCAACAAUGAAACGUCAUCAAACCUAGAAGCUCAUACAGAUUUUUCAAGAGGGAAUCUGUCAAAUCCCUAUUUCACUCACCAUUCAGAUCAUCCAGGUUUGGUUUUGAUUUCCAAACCCUUGAAUGGAGACAACUAUUCUACUUGGAAAAGGGCUAUGACCCUGGCCUUGAAUUCUAAAAACAAGCUAAGUUUUGUUAAUGGCUCAAUCAAAGCCCCUUCAGAAGAAACUGAUCCUGAAGGAUAUGCGGCUUGGUCUCGAUGCAAUGAUAUGGUCCAUUCAUGGAUUAUUAACACUCUCAAUCCAGAGAUUUCAGAUAGCGUGAUAUACUACUCUACCGCCCAUGAAGUUUGGGAAGACCUUCAUGACCGAUUUUCUCAAAGCAAUGCACCCCGUAUGUUUGAAAUUCAGCGAGAUAUCGCUUGUUUUAGGCAGGAACAACUUUCUGUUUCGGUGUAUUACACAAAAUUGAAGGGACUGUGGGAUGAACUUGCUUCCUACAAUGAUUCACUACAUGGGGCGCAGCAAGAUCAACAAAGAUUAAUGCAAUUUCUGAUGGGUUUGAAUGAGUCUUACAGUGCUGUUCGUGGACAAGUUCUCUUGAUGAAUCCCCUUCCUUCAGUUCGGCAAGCUUAUUCCUUUGUCUCUCAAGAAGAAAAGCAACGCCUUUUGAGUUCAGCACACACCAUCAAUGAUUCCGUUAACAGUGCAGCCAUGGCGGUUCAAAGCAACAACAGUAAGUUUAAUGACAAAGGUGAGCGUUCCUACCAUUCUUUUAGAUCGCAAGACAGAUUGACAGAUAAUUUCAGUGGAGGACGCAGAUUUGAACAGGACAGACGCCGGUUUGGACCUAGACGAGGACGGCCUCAUUGUUCCCACUGUGGAGAACCGGGACAUUGGGUCCAAACCUGUUAUGAGCUCCAUGGGUAUCCAGCAGGGCACCCCAAGGCAAAGCACAAUUCAGCCAGACGCUUCAACCAUAACAACAAAUCUGCAGCAAACCAUGUGUCAGAAAGUUUUGCUAAAGAAAAUGGCAAGUCUGUUGUUGGAAUUUCAGAGACCCAAUUGAAGCAGCUCUUAUCUCUUCUUAAUGACAAAGGCGCCGAAUCCAGUUCUCAAGCACAUGCUGCAACUACUGUAACCAAACCAGGUUUGCCUAAAAUUGCUUCCCGCAGUUGGAUUAUUGAUAGCGGGGCAACGGAUCAUAUUUCUUCAUCAUCUCAAUCAUUUUUUCAACGAGAUAACAAUUGCUCAUUGCCUCCUGUAUUACUGCCUAGCGGGGAAACAGCUAAUAUUGUUGCAAAGGGAUCAUUACCUCUGAAUUCCACUUAUUAUUUGCAUGACGUGCUUUGUGUACCCACAUUCAAAGUUGACUUGAUGUCAGUCAGUCGUUUGACAAGAGGUUUGAAUUGUUCGGUAACCUUUUUCCCUUAUUGGUGUAUUUUGCAGGAUCUGGCUACGAGGAGGAUGAUUGGUUUGGGUAAACAACGUGACGGACUAUACUACUUGGUGGCAAUAGCAACGAAGAAAUCUAUGGUUCAACCUUCCCAACCAUUACAUCGACCAGCCUGCAACCUCACCAUCUCAUCCACUGAUCUCUGGCAUAAACGCUUAGGCCAUAUCUCACCUCAUCGUUUAAGUUUCAUUGCCCAACAAUUUUUAAAUUUUUCUGUUCAAUCCAGUCAUGUUUGUCCUAUUUGUCCUUUGGCUAAGCAAAGUCGCUUGCCUUUCAAUUCUAGUGUCAUUUCCUCUAUAAAACCUUUUGAAAUAAUUCAUUGUGACAUUUGGGGUCGUUAUCGACACCCUUCCAUUUCUGGUGCUUAUUAUUUUCUUACUAUCGUUGAUGAUUAUACACGUUUCACAUGGAUAUUUUUGAUGCGACACAAAACUGAAGCUCAAUCUCUUAUAAAACGCUUUUUCAGUUAUGUUCUCACACAAUUUGAAUCUCCUAUUAAAAUUUUCCGAAGUGAUAAUGGUGGUGAAUUUAUAUCACUUCGUUCCUUUUUUCAAGAUAAGGGUGUAAUUUUUCAGCAUUCCUGUGUUUACACACCUCAACAAAAUGGGGUUGUGGAACGCAAACAUCGUCACAUCUUACAAGUAGCUCGAGCUUUGAAAUUUCAAGCUCAACUCCCAACCCAAUUUUGGGGAGAGUGUGCUCUUACUGCUGUCCACAUCAUCAAUCGACUCCCUUCCUCAGUGCUCUCCUUCAAAACUCCAUUUGAACUUCUCUAUUCAAAACCGCCUUCUUUUUCUCAUAUCCGGGUUUUUGGUUGCUUAGCUUAUGCUAUCAAUGUACAUCCUUCUCACAAAUUUGACUUUCGCUCAAUGCCCUCAAUUUUUAUUGGUUAUCCUACCGGUCAAAAGGCAUAUAAAUUAUUUGAUUUAUCUUCCAAAAAAAUUUUCACUAGUCGCGAUGUGCGCUUUCAUGAACAUAUUUUUCCUUAUGCAUCUGCCAAACCCGGUUUUGUUCAACAUCCUUCACCCAUUGAAUUUGGUCCUAUUCCUCUUCUAACUCAUGCCACGACUUCUCUUUAUUCCAGUCUACAAACUUCUCCUCCUGUUACAGCACCUGCACCUUCCUGUUCACCGCCAUUUGCCUCCUCAAAUCCCCACCCCUCAUCACCCCAGCCUCCACCCAUCCUCCGCACCUAUACACGUCGCCCUCGGCCUUCUGACCCAAUUCCCCCAGCUGAAAAUACACCACCACCCGAACCCGCCCCACCUGAACCCAGUUGGCCUUCUGAAAAUCCACCACCACCCGAGCCCGCCCCACUUCGUCGCUCCAGUCGCCAUACUGCUCCACCAGCCAAGCUCAACGACUUUGUCUGCUCCAAUGUUUCCUCCAACCAAUCAGCCACCUUACUGCCAGGUCCAUCCAAAGGUACGCGAUAUCCCAUGGCCAACUUUGUUUCAUAUCAUCGUUAUACUCCUGCAUAUCACGCAUUUGUUGCUCAGCUCAGCACCAUCCCAGAGCCUAAGUCUUAUGCAGAGGCUGUUGUUCAUCCUGAAUGGCAGCAGGCCAUGCGCUCCGAACUGGAUGCUCUCCAAGCCAAUGGCACUUGGUCUCUCACCUCCCUGCCGUCAGGCAAGACACCAAUUGGCUGCAGAUGGGUCUACAAAAUUAAACACCAUUCGGAUGGUUCUGUCGAGCGGUACAAAGCUCGUUUAGUCGCCCAAGGUUUCACUCAAAUGGCAGGAGUCGACUAUCAUGAUACAUUUUCUCCUACUGCCAAAAUAAUCUCUGUCCGUUGUUUACUUGCCUUAACUGCAGCUCAUGGCUGGCCCCUGCACCAGAUGGACGUCCACAAUGCUUUCCUUCACGGAGACUUAGCUGAGGAGAUAUAUAUGUCUCUGCCACCAGGUCUUCGGCGCCAGGGGGAGGAUCAUCUAGUUUGUCGCCUCCACAAGUCCCUUUACGGUUUAAAACAGGCAUCCCGCCAGUGGUUUGCCAAAUUUUCCGAAGCUAUGCAUUCUGCUGGUUUUAUACAAUCAAGAGCAGAUUAUUCUCUAUUCACCAGGAAGCAGGGUAUGUCCUUUACUGUUCUCUUGAUAUACGUUGAUGAUAUCUUGAUCACUGGAAAUGAUCUGGUUAACAUUGCUGCAACUAAACAAUUCCUGCAUAAACAUUUUCAUAUCAAAGAUCUUGGUGAUUUAAAAUACUUUCUUGGAAUUGAGGUGUCUACUUCAAAGAAUGGAAUUUUCAUUUCACAACGUAAAUAUGCACUGGAAGUCAUUGAGGAUGCAGGUUUGUCAGGUGCUGCUCCUAUUAAUACUCCUAUGGAACGGGGCUUGAAAUUAUCAGACAAGAGCACCCUGCUCAAGGAUACAAACCGGUAUAGAAGAUUGGUGGGUCGGUUAAUUUAUUUGACUGUAUCAAGGCCAGACAUAACGUAUGCUGUACAUGUCUUGAGUAGAUUUAUGCAGCAGCCCCGAAAACUUCAUAUGGAGGCAGCUCUUCGAGUUGUUCGAUAUCUAAAAGGUGCACCUGGCCGAGGCUUAUUUUUCUCUUCGAAGAGUGAUUUAAAAUUGAGAGCUUAUUGUGACUCAGAUUGGGCAGGCUGUCCACUCACUAGGAGAUCUACAACAGGCUAUUGUGUUUUUCUUGGACCUUCACUGAUAUCCUGGAGGUCGAAGCGCCAGAAAACAGUUUCGCUUUCUUCUGCUGAAGCAGAAUACCGAGCAAUGACAGGAGCCUGCUGUGAGUUAACAUGGUUGCGAUGUCUACUGAAAGACUUGGGAAUUUCACACCGUGAAUCUGCCUUACUAUAUUGUGACAAUAAAGCUGCAUUACACAUUGCAGCCAAUCCAGUGUUUCAUGAGAGAACUAGGCACAUUGAAAUGGAUUGUCACUACAUCCGAGACAAGAUUCAAGAUGGUUCCAUUACUACAAAACAUGUCGACUCUGCACAUCAACUAGCAGAUGUCUUGACUAAGCCCCUGGGAAAAGAGAUCUUUGUUCCUAUGGUUAGCAAGUUAGGAGUGCAGGAUAUCCACUCUCCAACUUGAGGGGGAGUGUUAGGAAAUGAAAUAUUCCCGUGUAUAGAAUAGCAGAGUUGUAUAAAAUAGAAGAUAUGUAUUUAUUCACUUUCCAUUGUAAUGCCUAAUAUGUCGCUACUGAAGCUACAAUGCAGCAACUGAUUCCUGACUUGUAGGAAUCAGUUGCAGCCUCCCUGUAUAAGUAUAUGAUUCAGUAUCAAUAACAAUCACUCUGGUAAAUUCAAUCUUUCUCUUCAUUCUUUUCAAGGUUGAGAGGUUGAACUAUGAAGAAGCUCUUCAACUCUUUAGCUCAAAAGCCUUGAAGAAUUGCAUCCCCACAAUUGAUCAUAGAGACCUGAUAAAAAGGAUUGCAAGUCAUGUACAAGGCAAUCCGUUGGCUCUUAUAGUUUUGAGUUCCUCUCUCUAUGGUAAAAGCCCAGAAGAAUGGUACAGUGCAUUGAAUAAACUAGCUCAGAACCCUCGAAUCGAAAAUGCAUUGAGAAUUAGUUACAAUGGGUUGUAUCAAGAACAACAAUCCAUAUUUCUUGAUAUAGCACAUUUCUUCAGAAAAUUUGAGCAAAACCAAGCUACAAGAAUAUUAGAUGGCUUUUAUGGCCGGCCUGUGAUUUUUGAUAUAAGCAUGCUCAUUGAUAAGUGUCUCAUAACUACUUCUCGGAACAUGCUAGAAAUACAUGAUUUACUACAAGAAAUGGCAUUUAGCAUUGUUCGUGCAGAAUCUAAGUUUCCUGGCAAACGUAGCAGGUUGUGUCAUCUUACUGACAUCGUUCAUGUAUUGGAGGAAAAUAAGGUUAAAGCCGAAGUCAUUAGAUAUCUUUCUUUUCUCUGCUCUGACAUACUAACUGAGAGGUUUCAUAUUUGCUGAAAAGUUGAUUUUUUGAGUACAUUGUAUUAUUGUUUGUUUAUUCUUUAUUCUUGUUUAACAGGGAACUGAAGAAAUUGAAGGCAUAUCUUUGGACAUGUCCAGGUUAUCGAGACAGAUACACUUGAAAUCUGAUGCCUUCGCAAUGAUGGAUGGUCUUAGAUUUAUCAAAUUCUUUUUCGGUCAUUUGUCCCAAGAUAACAAAGAUAAAAUGCACCUUCCUCCUACUGGCCUCGAAUAUCUUUCUAAUAAGCUGAGAUAUUUGCACUGGGAUGGAUUCCCUUCAAAAUCCUUGCCGCAUGUUUUUUGUGCUGAAUAUCUUGUCGAGCUUAACUUAAGCAGGAGCAAGGUUGAAAAACUUUGGACCAGAGUACAGGUAUGAUUUAAUUGCUGUAUAUUUAUGAUCAGAAAUAUGUAGUUGGAGGUGCUAACUUUCUAAUUAUGCCUUUUCCUGUUGACAGGAUGUUGGAAAUGUACAAAAAUUUGUACUAUCUUACUCUCCAUAUUUGACGGAAUUGCCAGAUCUAUCAAAGGCCAGAAAUUUGGUGUCCUUACGCCUUGUAGACUGUCCAAGUUUAACCGAGGUUCCGUUUUCUCUUCAAUAUCUUGACAAGCUGGAAGAACUUGAUCUCAAUUUUUGCUAUAAUCUUAGAAGUUUUCCAAUGCUUGAUUCAAAGGUUCUCAAAGUACUUUCUAUAAGUCGGUGCCUAGAUAUGACCAAGUGUCCAACGAUUUCACAAAAUAUGAAAAGCUUAUAUUUAGAGGAAACUUCAAUCAAAGAAGUUCCACAAUCAAUUACUAGCAAGUUGGAAAAUCUUGGUCUGCAUGGUUGCUCAAAGAUCACCAAGUUUCCAGAGAUUUCAGGGGAUGUAAAAACAUUAUAUCUAAGUGGAACUGCUAUUAAAGAGGUGCCCUCAUCAAUCCAGUUUCUCACAAGACUUUGCGUAUUGGAUAUGAGUGGUUGCUCAAAACUUGAGAGCUUCCCAGAAAUCGCAGUGCCUAUGAAAUCAUUGGUGGAUCUUAACUUGAGUAAAACAGGCAUUAAAGAGAUACCCUCAUCAUUUAAGCAAAUGAUAUCUUUGAGAAGUCUAGGGUUAGAUGGAACGCCUAUUGAAGAGCUACCCUUAUCAAUCAAAGAUAUGGUAUGUUUGAGAUAUCUGGCUUUGCAUGGAACACAUAUUAAAGCGUUACCUGAGCUUCCACCUUCGCUGAGGUCUCUAACAACACAUGACUGUGCAUCACUAGAAACCAUGAUAUCAACCAUCAAUAUCGGCAGAUUAUGGGACUGAUUGAAUUUUGCAAAUUGCUUCAAAUUGGAUCAGAAACCACUGAUAGCAGCAAUGCAUUUGAAAAUUCAGGUAUCUCUCUUAACCCCAUCUUUCUUUCUUCUCUCUUUCUUUCUUGCUUCAUCACAUUUUCGAAAUGUGACUUUUGUGUUAUAGUCCGGAGAUAAGAUCCCAUAUGACAGAAUUCAAAUGGUUCUACCGGGGAGUGAAAUUCCAGAAUGGUUCAGUGACAAAGGAAUUGGAUCUUCACUCACCAUACAGUUGCCCACAAAUUGUCAUCAGCUCAAGGGAAUUGCUUUCUGCCUUGUCUUUCUACUCCCUCUUCCCUCCCAUGAGAUGCUUUAUGAAUUCGAUGAUCAUCCUGAAGUUCGCGUAUAUUUUGAUUGCCAUGUUAAGAGUAAAAAGGGUGAGCAUGAUGGUGAUGAUGAAGAAGUCUUCGUUUCCAAGAAAAGCUAUAGUAUAUUCAAUUUCUUGAAGACAUGUGACUCAGAUCACAUGUUUCUACACUAUGAGCUCGAAUUAGUAAAUCAUUUCCGUAAAUAUUCUGGCAAUGAAGUUACAUGUAAAUUCUACCAUGAAGUGGACAACGGGAGUACGAAAGUAGGUCAUGAGAUUCGAAAGCCUUGCGAGUUGAAAAGCUGUGGUGUAUAUCUGCACUUUGAUGAAAAUCUACAGGCCGGCACUUUGUUAAGGAUCUUCCUUAACAAACAAAAGUUUAGAAGAAAAUUGAGGGAGAAAUAGAAGAAAUUGAAAAGGAGAGAGAGAGAGAGAGAGAGUUCUGCAAUUACUGCAAAUUGUUCGUCAAGUAGUUUUCAAGAUACCUAUACUAGCUGCUUCUUCUGGUACUACUAACUUGCUGCUGUUGUAAUUCUUCUCUAUGACUAACUAACUUUGACCUUACCCUGCAAUUUGUAAUACACUUAUGAUGAGGAUUUGAAGCAAGUAGUUCUGAGAAGGAUUCAAUUUACUAUACGAAUUAUGAAUGAUUAACUUUGUGGGGGUAAUGCAUUUGUAAUUUUAUUUUCUUAUGUAUAUGUAGUUUAAUAUGACCACUGGUAGCGCAGAUUGUUCAUAGUUUAUUCUGUCAGCAGUUAAAGUCUCAAAAAUAUGUUUUUAAAGCACAAAGGUCAUCAAGUAUAGGGAAAAUAAUUUUUAGUUAGAAUGUUUUGGGUUUAGGCCAACAUUAUUGAUAGGACUAAUACUAUUGCCUAUGUAUCAUCAAGUGAAAUAAUUGUAUUUAGUCUAUAUUCCGGUAACCAAAGCUUCACUCCUUCCUUAUGAUUAUGUCGUAAUGCUGACUGAAUCCAAUCCAUAAACCCGGAAACGAAACAAAGCUCGUUCCCUUUCGUCACUGAAGCACUAAUCAUGCUUAAUUUUUCUCUUAAUUCAUUAUUGUGUUCAUUAUAUUUGUUCUUUAUGCUUAUGUCCAACCACCUGUUAAAGACAAUGCUUUGAGAUGAUCAUUUCCUGUUGUACAGCUUAAUAUUGCUCAGUCUAGUAUGAUAGGCUGCGCAUCUUUUUCCUAUUCUGAGCUCACUUUCCAUGUCCCAUGUAAUGCAGAUUAACUGUUAAAAGGACUGCAUGCAUUUCAAAUGUGUGAGAAUCUGGAACAUCUGCUGAUUGUUGUUCCUGCAUGUCCUUGUACUUGAGAAAAUAUUUAUUGCUGAUUGUUGUGUCAUUAGCAAUUAGAUGAUGUUGUGACACUUUCAGCUCUGUCACAAAAGGAGUGUUUGCCUGUUGAGAGAUGUUACAUGCGUUGCUCAUAGAGCAUGGACGCCUUCCAAAAGCACACAUCAAUUAUUUUUUAAUUUUUAAUUAUUUUUUUAUUUUUAAAAAAAUUAAAUUGCCUCUAAUUCACAUUGAUUAUAACUAAAAAGCCUUGAAAAAAUAUAAAAAAACCUCUGAAUAUCAAUUUUUUUUUUAAACAAUGUAGUCAUUUCACUGUACUAUUAAAACAUUAAAAGACUGAAACACCCAUUAAUCCUAGUUUUGAAAAUUUUGCUUUUAAAAAUAUUUAAAUUAUUUUACUGAAAUUCUAAAAUGCUUAAAAACUGAUUUGUCCUCAUUUAAUAGGAUAAUGAUAAUACAUCACAUGAAAAGACUGUAUUGCUUUUAAUGACUAAUUAAAUAGUUUUAUUUUAGAUAUGCAAAAUAAUCACUUCAUUAUUUUAAUUCACAAUUAUAUGUGUCUUUAAUAUAGCUGUUAGUUUUUUUAUUAAUUUUAAUUUUAAUUAAAAGACAUAGCAAGUUGUCUAAACCCUUUUCAUGGACAAAGCAAUGAUCUUCAAUGAUAAAAUAGCAUUUUGAAGCAUGUAAAAAACAGACAAAACAAUUGCUCUAAGAGUUCAAUUGUUUCAAGCCUAUCAAAGUAGCUUAGUCUUAAUAGGAAUGUAUCCUAUAAUUAUUAAAUCAAAUCCAGGAAUGUCUAAACGGGUUUGCUGGGCUAAUUGCUGGUCUGGUUUUUAACCGAUACAGAUCAAAAAAAAAAAAAAAACAAAGAACAAAGAACAAGACCUGAAGGCUGAAGGCUGAAGCCUUCUUGUACAUGGGAAAUUUCCGGGAAGUGAACACCUCUGUACACAUGAGAAAAUAUUUGGAAAAAGGAAACACGUAAUUUCAAUUUUUAAGGAAGACUUAAGAUCAAGUCGUCGUCCCCAUCAAUAAUUACUUCUUCUUUUUACAUGAUUCCUUCCAGCUCAUUACACACAAUCUAUCAUCGGCAGAUGACUUCAGGAACACUCGAUGCCCUUCCUACCAAAUCACAAAAAGAAAAAACAAAUAACAAGACAUUAUGCCUUUCUGUCCACAGGAAAUUACCAAGUAGACGUGCACCCUCUGUAACGUCCAAGAAAAUACAUGGAUUUGAUUUUUUUUAUUUUAAAUUAUUUUUUUUAUUUUUAUAUCAUUUCAAUGGACUGAAUAAAAAAUUAAAUUAAAAAAUUAAAAAAAAUAUUAUUUUGAUGCAUUUUCAAGUGAAAAUUAUUUUGAAAAACAACUGUUAUCACAAUACCACAAAUCCAUCAUAACCAUUAUAAUAUAAUGUAAAGGCAAAAAAGUCUUUGGCAUGUGCAAACACAUGGACCAAAAAUAUAGAAGGUGUUUGCAAGUGUAGUAAUAAUUGAUUUUUAAAAUGUUUUUUUGCUUGAAAAUACAUCAAGAUAAUUUUUUUUCACUUUUAAACAAUAAUUUUUGACACCAACAAUGUUAAAACAAACAGAAAAAACUAAAAAAAAUUAAUCUAAAAUAAAAUAUAAAACAAUUUCUAAAUUUAUUAAAAUAUUGUUUAUACAGCAAAGACAAACAAAACCUAAAUGCCCUUUCCUUCACAUUAAAUUUAUUAAAAUAUUGUUUAUUAAUAUCAUUUUAAUAUACUGAUAUUAAAAAUAAAUUUUAAAAAAUAAAAAAUAUAUAUUAUUUUGUUGCAUCUUCAAGUUAAAAUUAUCUUGAAAAACAAUUGUUACCUCAAUACCAAACAUGUUCUCUAACAAGUUCUUCUCAAUCAAAUUAUCAUAACUAUUAUAAUAUAAUGUGAAUGUAAAAAAGUCUUCGGCACACGCAAACACUUGGAUUGAAGAUAUAUAGGGUGUUUAUAAGUAUAGUAAUAAUUGAUUUUUAAAAUGUUUUUUUGCUUAAAAAUACAUCAAGAUAAUAUAUUUUUUUUAUUUUUAAAGAAUUAUUUUUGACACAGACACAUCAAAACAAACCAAAAAAACCAAAAAAAAAAUUAAUCUAAAAUAAAAUAUAAAAUAAUUUCAAAAUUUAUUAAAACAUUGUUUACAUAGCAAAAGACAAACAAAAGCCUAAAUGCCUUUUACUACGGCAUCACAAAUAACAAGACUUGAAGCCUUUUGUGCAUGGAAAAUUUCCAGGAAGCUAACAAUGUGCACCUUCUAUAAUGCCCCGAGAAAAUACUUGAAUUUGAAUUUUUUUUAUUUUUUGUUUACUUUAAAUUAAUUGUUUUGUGUUUUAAUUAUAUCAUUUUGACUUUUUGAUAUCAAAAAUAAAUUUUAAAAAAUAAAAAAUAUUAUUUUAAUGUAUUUCUAAUCAAAUUUUUUUGAAAAACAACCACUAGUACAAUAUUGAACAGAUUCUCUAACAAAUUCUUUUCAAUAAAAUCAUCAUAACCAUUAUAAUAUAAUAUGAAGGCAAAAGAGUCCUCUGCAAGGCAAAUACUUGAACUGAAGAUAUAGAAGGUGUUUACGAGUAUGGUAAUAAUUGUUUUUUAAAGUGUUUUUCAUUUAAAAAUACAUUAAGAUAAUAUAUUUUUUAUUUUUAAAGAAUUAUUUUUAACACAAACAUAUUAAAACAAACCGAAAAAAACUAAAACAAAUUAAUCUUAAAUAAAAAAAAAUCAAAAUUUAUAAAAACAUUGUUUAUAGGCAAAGAUAAAAUCGCCUUUCCUUCCAUGUGCAUGGCAGCUCCACUGGGCUGCUACGGAAAUUAAAAUGUAUUAAGAUAUUAUUUUUAUUUUUUAAAAAUUAUUUUUAAUUUUAGUAUAUUAAAACAAUUUAAAAAUAUAAAAAUAUUAAAUUUAAAAAAGUAUUAAUUUUUUUUUUAAAAGAGUAUAUUUCUAAAAAGUGUUCUGACACAUUUUGACAAGAAAUUCGUAAUUUCCAGGAAAAUUAUAAAAGAAUUUGAAGUAAAAAUUAAUAGACUAAAGAAUGACGUGGGACAGAAGUGUUUAGUGUUUUUAAAAAAUAUAUAAUAAAAAAGUUAAAGAGAAGAUCAGCUACUCCGCCAAGUGAAUAGCUAAUACAGCUGUGAUAUGAUAAACAAGAAUAUAUAUGCUUUUGAUUUUUAACAAUGGAAUCAACACUGUGCAAUCUUGUAAUGUUCUAAGAAAAUUCUUGGAUUUGAUGCCUAUAAAUUAUACAUAUGCCUAAGGCAGGGUCUUCAACACGUAAAGCCUAAGCUACUGAUUCAAAAUCAGCCUCAUCUUUUUUCCUUGAGUUACUUUCGUUCUCUCCCUACGUACAGACCUACCUUGCCACCAGAGUCCUACUCUUGUUUCCUCGACUGUUUCUCCACAAAACAAUGGCGGUGUUUUUCUUGUUUCUCUCUAUCUUUUUGUUUGUUUUUAUCUGGAGAUUCAUCUUACGAAACUGUCAUCUAUCUCCAUCGCCAUCUACUCCUUCCACCUUAACCACCGCCCAGCCACAAGUAAUUAAACAUGAUCUCUUCCUUAGUUUCAGGGGAGAAGACACCCGUGUUGGUUUUACCAGCCACCUCUAUGCUGCUUUGGACCGGAAACAAAUCCGAACUUUCAUAGAUUAUCAGCUUCGGAGAGGAGAUGAGAUUUCGGCAUCACUUCUGAGAACAAUUGAAGAGGCCAAGCUUUCUGUGAUUGUUUUUUCUGAAAACUAUGCAUCUUCCAAAUGGUGCUUGGAGGAGCUUGCAAAGAUUAUUGAGCGUAGAAGAAAUAAUGGACAGAUAGUUAUUCCAGUAUUCUACAAGGUGGAUCCAUCCCAUGUAAGAAAUCAAACAGGAAGCUUUGGAGAUGCAUUGGCUAGAUUGAUAAAGAAGAAAGCUUUGACGAUGGACAGAGAGCAGAGCUUCAGAGACGCUUUGACGGAUGCAGCCAAUCUAUCUGGAAGGAGCUUAGGGAAUUCUUGAAAAGAUGGAAGAACAAUGUGUAUUGAUUGAGUGAAUGAAUAAAGACCUUAGGUCAUGUAUUUGUACAGCCAAGGCAUUCCUAUGAGUUAGGAAUGGGAACUACAUUACAGGAAAAUCAGCUACAAUAUAGGAACUAAAAUAGGAAAAUAAUAUGUACUGAUUAUCUAUUUCUAUAUAAAGAUAAUGUCAACAUUUAUCUUGUCAACACUCCCCCUCAAGUUGGAGAGUGGAUAUCCUGAACUCCCAACUUGCGAAUCAUAGGGAUGAAACUUUCCUUUCCCAAAGACUUGGUCAGGAUAUCCGCUAGCUGAUGUGUAGAACUCACAUAUCUCGUGAUCACUGAACCGUCUUGAAUCUUGUCUCUAAUGAAAUGGCAGUCCAUCUCAAUGUGCCUAGUCCGCUCAUGGAAAACUGGGUUGGCAGCUAUGUGUAAGGCAGCCUUGUUGUCGCAAAACAAUAGGGCUGCUUCAUGAUGUAUUAGACCCAAGUCUUUCAAUAAUUGACGCAGCCAAGUCAACUCACAGCAGGCUCCUGUCAUUGCGCGAUAUUCGGCUUCGGCGGAAGAAAGGGAAACUGUUUUCUGUCUUUUCGAUCUCCAGGAUAUCAAUGACGGUCCAAGAAACACACAAUAGCCUGUGGUGGAUCUCCUAGUGAGCGGGCAACCUGCCCAGUCUGAGUCACAAUAUGCUCUCAACCUGAAGUCAUUAUUCGAUGAGAAAAAUAGGCCUUGACCUGGUGCACCUUUCAAAUAUCGGACAACCCGAAGUGCUGCUUCCAUGUGAAGCUUUCUGGGCUCAUGCAUAAACCUACUCAAAACAUGCACUGCAUAGGUUAUAUCCGGUCUCGAAACUGUCAGAUAAAUCAAUCUGCCAACCAAUCUUCUAUACUUACUCGGUUCUUUCAACAAAACACCCUGGUCUGAUAAUUUUAAACCUCGUUCCAUAGGAGUGUUAAUUGGGGCAGCCCCCAACAGACCCACAUCCUCAAUAAUUUCCAAAGCAUAUUUACGUUGACAGAUAAAAAUACCCUUCUUGGAUGCAGAAACUUCUAUGCCAAGGAAGUACUUUAGAUUACCAAGGUCUUUAAGAUUAAACUGACUAUGCAGGAAUUUUUUAGUGUCAACAAUGCUAGCAUGAUCAUUUCCAGUUAUUAGAAUAUCAUCCAUAUAUAUCAAAAGUGCAGUAAAGAGCUUGCCUCGUGUUUUGGUGAACAAAGAGUAAUCGGCUCGAGAUUGGAUGAAGCCAGCAGAACACAUGGCCUCCGAGAAUUUUGCAAACCACUGCCUAGACGCCUGUUUCAAACCGUACAACGACUUAUGUAAACGGCACACCAGAUUAUUCUCCCCCUGUCGCUGAAGGCCAGGCGGUGGAGACAUGUAAAUCUCUUCUGCCAAAUCGCCAUGAAGAAAGGCGUUAUUCACGUCCAUUUGAUGCAAGGACCACCCACGGGCUGCAGCUAAGGCAAGCAAGCAGCGCACUGAAAUAAUCUUCGCUGUUGGAGAAAAUGUAUCCUGGUAAUCUAUGCCUUCCAAUUGGGUGAACCCCUUUGCUACCAACCGUGCUUUGUGCCUUUCAACUGACCCAUCUGAUCGGAGCUUGACCUUAUAGACCCAUCGGCAGCCAAUUGGAAUUUUACCAGUGGGAAGUUUGGUAAGAGUCCAGGUGCCGUUAGCUUGUAAAGCCUUCAACUCAGAAGUCAUGGCCUUCUGCCACUCAGGAUGAACAACUGCCUCUGAAUAGGACUUAGGUUCACUGAUGGUGCCGAUUUGAGCAACAAAGGAUCUGUAAUUGGGCAUGUAUCUGUGAUAUGAGAGGUGGUUAAACAGAGGAUGUCGAGUUCCUUUGGUUGGACCCAGCGACAAAGAGAGUGAUUGGUCAGUGUAAACAUUGUUGCAGACGAAAUCCUUGAGCUUGAUCGGUGGAACAGUCUGGCGACUUGAGCGACGGAGAGGAAUAGGGGCAGGAAUGGGGUUAUUUGGUGGAGUGGUGGUUGAUGAGUGCUCGAAUGGUGGAGCUGAAGGAGGUGGCUGUGGGAGUGGUGAAGGUGACGGUGGGUCACGAGGUGAAGGGGACAUGUGUGAUGGCGUCGGUGAAGGAGAGGAAGAUGGUGAAUUUGGUAAAGGUGAGGUAAGGUGAUUUGGCAGGUAAGUGUCUGAUGUGGAAGGAGAAGAAUUGGGCCAAGGGAUGUCACGGGCCAUAAUUGGGAUUGGGCCGGUUUCGGAAAUUUGUGGGCCAGUUUCUGGUGGGUUAAUGGGCUGGACAGAUGCAUAGGGAAAAAUGGUUUCAUGAAAUCUGACAUCGCGGCUAGUAAAAUUUUUUUUAUUUGACAAAUCAAACAAUUUGUAUGCUUUUUGUCCAACGGGAUAACCAAUGAAAAUGGAAGGAAUGGAACGCUGAUCAAACUUAUGAGAAAUGCGCACAUUAGUAGCAUAGGUUAGACAGCCAAAAACACGGAGAUGAGAAAAGGCGGGUUUUUUUGAAAAGAGAAGUUCAAAAGGAGUUUUUAGAGAAAGAACUGGAGAAGGCAAACGAUUGAUUAUGUGGACGGCGGUAAGAGCACAUUCCCCCCAAAAAAGGGUAGGGAGAUGUGCUUGAAAUUUUAAAGCGCGAGCUACUUGUAAAAUAUGACGAUGUUUACGUUCCAGAACCCUAUUUUGUUGCGGCGUGUAGACGCAAGAAUGUUGAAAAACGACCCCAUGAUUUUGAAAAAAAGAACGUAAAGAAAUAAAUUCUCCACCGUUAUCACUUCGAAAUGUUUUUAUUUGAGUUUCAAAUUGGGUCCGAACAAAACUGAAGAAAUUUUUUAAAAGUGAUUGUGCUUCAUUUUUAUGUCGCAUUAAAAAUAUCCAUGUGAAACGAGAAAAAUCAUCCACAAUGGUAAGAAAAUAAUGAGCACCAGUAAGGGAAGGAUGUCGAUAACGACCCCAAAUAUCACAAUGAAUUAUUUCAAAAGGUUUUAUUGAAGAAAUAGUACUAGGACUGAAAGGUAAACGACUCUGCUUUGCCAAAGGACAUAUAUGACAAGCAUUAUUUGACCGAAUUGAAAAUUUUAAAAAAUUCUUGGCAAUGAAACUUAAACAAGGAGAUGAUGCAUGCCCUAAGCGAUGAUGCCAGAGAUCGGUGGAUGAAAUGGUAAGAUUGCAUGUCGGCAGUUUUGUGGGUGGGGAGGCGGUGUUUAUGGUUUUAUUCGUCACAAGUGCCGUUAGAUAAUAUAAGUCGUCUCUUUGUUUACCCAAACCAAUCAUCCUCCUCGUAGCCAGAUCCUGCAAAAUACACCAAUAGGGAAAAAAAGUUAUUGAGCAGUUCAGGCCUCUCGUCAACCGACUAACUGAUAUCAGAUCAACUUUGAAAGUAGGAACACAAAGCACAUUAUGCAGAUAAUAAACAGAGUUCAAAGGUAGCGAUCCUUUGGCGACAAUAUUGACUUUCUCUCCACUGGGCAGCAUUACCGAAUGUAAUGAACAACUUUUAUUUUUACGGAAUAAUUUAAGUGACGAAGAAAUAUGAUCCGUUGCCCCGCUAUCAAUGAUCCAAUCGCGGGAAGUGAUUUUAGACAAACCUGGUUUGGUAACCGCAUUUGCCUGAGAUAUAGAGUCAUCAUUCUUACUAACAAGUGACAAAAGUUGUUUUAAUUGAUCCUCCGAAAUGCGCAUGAACUGGCUGCCAUCAACUUUGGGAUUGGUCUCGGUAAUGCUAUUGGCUGGAGGCCUGGCCCAAGAACUUUCGGCCACAUGAUUCACUGCAGGCCUGGCCCAAGAACUCUCGGCCAUAUGAUUCCCCGCAGGCCUGGCCCUGUUGUUGAAGCUGCGUGAGCCCGGCUGGAAUCUUCCUCUCGGAUGGCCCAUUGGAUAGCCAUUUAAUUCAUAACACGUCUGGACCCAGUGUCCAUUUUCUCCGCAGUGGGAGCAAUUUGGUCGUCCUCUACCUGCGAAAGUCCCCUGUCUCCGUCUGUCUUGGUUGAAACUUUCUGGUUGUCUCUCCUGCGACCGUGGUUCGUGCGAACCGUAUGAACGGUUGAAUCGUCCAUGUCUGGCUGGGUUGGGUCUUCCUCGAACAGCCAUAGCUGCACUGUUGAUGGGUUCAAUUGUGGUAUGCGAUGAAGUGAGGAUUCGCUGUUUCUCUUCCUGAGAAAUUGAAGAAUAUGCCUGCCGAAUUGAAGGAAGAGGAUUCAUGAGGAGGAUCUGCCCGCGAAUAGCACUGUAAGAAUCAUUCAGCCCCAUCAAAAAUUGCAUUAACUUUUGUUGAUCCUGCUGUGCCCCAUGGGUUGUGUUGUCAUAGGAUGCUAAUUCAUCCCACAGUCCUUUCAGUCUGGUAUAAUAGGAAGAAACAGACAGUUGUUCUUGCUUGAAAUAAGCAAUUUCUCGUUGUAUCUCGAAAAUUCGAGGAGCAUUGCUUUGGGAGAAUCUCUCAUUAAGGUCUUCCCAAACCUCAUGUGCAGUAGAGUAAUAAAUCACACUGUUGGAGAUGUCUGGACUGAGUGCAUUGAUAAGCCAUGAAUGCACCAUAUCAUUACACCGAGACCAUGCUGCAUAACCUUCGGGAUCAGUUUCUUCUGAAGGAAUUUUGAUUGAGUUGUUGACAAAACCUAAUUUGUUCUUGGAAUUUAAGGCUAAAGUCAUAGCCCUCUUCCAGGUGGAAUAAUUAUCUCCGUUUAGAGGUUUGGAGACUAAAAUCAGACUUGGGUGAUCGGAGUGAUGAGUAAAGAAAGGAUUUGAGAUGUUUGAUUUUGAGGGAUCUGCAGAGGCAGCAGGAACGGCUGCUUGAUUGUUCAUGCCUGUGUUGGCUGAUAAUUGAUUUUUUUUCUGUGGACAUGGUGAUUGGGAAAGUAGAUACUGGGUAGCCAAUGUAGUGAAGGGAAACGGUGGAUCAAGGAAAGUUAGGAUCUUUGAAUAUGCUCUGAUACCAUGAAAAGAUGGAAGAAGUAUUGAUUGAGUGAAUGAAUACAGACCUUAGGUCAUGUAUUUGUACAGCCAAGGCAUUCCUAUGAGUUAGGAAUGGGAACUACAUUACAGGAAAAUCAGCUACAAUAUAGGAACUAAAAUAGGAAAAUAAUAUGUACUGAUUAUCUAUUUCUAUAUAAAGAUAAUGUCAACAUUUAUCUUGUCAACAAUUCUGAGUAAGCUCUUGAAAUAUAUCCCAUGAGAAAAUAUUCGUUCAUUUGUUGAGGAUUUGAAAUUUAAUUUAAAAUUAUUGAGAAUGAUGAGCUCUGUGAAUCCAUAUUUAUUUAAUUUGAUUUUGAAAACGUUAUAGCGAAACACUUAUAUAGAUAUUAUGUGGUGGGUUGUUUUGUGUAUUAAAAUGUUUUUUUUUUAAUUUUUUUUUUGUGUUUUUAGAUUAUUUUGAUGUAUUUAUAUUAAAAAAUAUAUUUUUAAAAAAAUAUUAUUUGUAGCGAAAUGUUUGUAUAGAUAUUAAGUGGUUGUUUGUUUUUGUGUGUUUUUAUAAAAAAUAAAUAAAAAAUAUUUGCACUGAAAUGAUUGUAUAGAUAUUAAGGUUUGUAUUGAUAUAAUUAAAGUGGUUGUUUGUUUUUAGUGUUUUUAUAUUAUUUUAAUGUAUUUAUAUUAAAAAUAAUAUUUUUUUAAAAAAUAUAUUAUUUCAAUAUAUUUUUUAAAAAUAGUUACUUAGAAAUCCCUACGUUAAUGAGGACAGUCAAAUAGUCAAUGCUUUCUUCUAUGCUUAAAUAAUAUUCUAUCUAUUUAAAUUUUAUUUGAGGUGAAAAGGAUAAGAUAAACACCGAUUACAUGUAGUUUCCAGUUUUCAACGCUUGAUUAACUGUAUCCAUUGCCAAUAAUGAUGCUCAAUUACUCAUACGUGCCUGCUACUAAGGAGUGAGUAUGUUUCUAUGUGUUCUUUCUAUUUGCCAGGCUGGAGUCUGAAUUUAUUAAGAAUAUCGUUGGAGAUGUUUUGAAAAAAUUGCAUGCCAUGUAUUCAAGUCACACUAUGGCGGGUCUACUUGGAAUUGAUGUUCGUGUUAGCAAAGUUGAGUCUUUGUUAAAUAUGGAAUCUCCAGAUGUUCUCAUUGUAGGGAUAUGGGGAAUGGGUGGUAUCGGUAAGUCAACGAUUGCUGAAGCUGUAUGCAACAAGGUUCGUUCUCGAUUUGAAGGAAUAUUUUUUGCAAACUGUAGGCAACAAUCUGAUUUGCGAAGAAGAUUUCUUAAACGGCUGCUUGGCCAAGAAACUCUGAACACUAUGGGCUCGUUGAGUUUUCGAGAUUCUUUUGUGAGGGAUAGACUUCGUCGAAUAAAGGUUUUUAUUGUUCUGGAUGAUGUGGAUAAUUCAAUGGCUUUGGAAGAAUGGAGAGAUUUGCUUGAUGGACGAAACAGUUCAUUUGGUCCGGGCAGUAAAGUUCUCAUAACAAGUAGGGACAAGCAAGUGCUUAGUAACAUAGUAGACGAAACAUACAAGGUUGAGGGGUUGAACUAUGAAGACGCUAUUCAACUCUUUAACUCAAAAGCCUUGAAGAUUUGCAUCCCCACAAUUGAUCAAAGACACUUGAUAGAACAGAUUGCAUGGCAUGUACGAGGCAAUCCGUUGGCUCUUAAAGUUUUGGGUUCCUCUCUUUAUGGUAAAAGCAUCGAAGAAUGGCGCAGUGCAUUGAAGAAACUAGCUCAGGACCCUCAAAUCGAAAGGGCGUUGAGAAUUAGUUACGAUGGGUUGGAUUCAGAACAAAAAUCCAUAUUUCUUGACAUAGCACAUUUCUUCAAUAGAAUGAAGCCAAACGAAGCAACAAGAAUAUUAGAUUGCCUUUAUGGUCGGUCUGUGAUUUUCGAUAUAAGCACGCUCAUUGAUAAGUGUCUCAUAACUACUUUUUAUAACAAUAUACGAAUGCAUGAUUUACUACAAGAAAUGGCAUUUAACAUUGUUCGUGCAGAAUCUGAUUUUCCUGGCGAACGUAGCAGGUUAUGUCAUCCUCCUGAUGUCGUUCAAGUAUUGGAGGAAAAUAAGGUUAAAGCUACAGCCAUUAACUGUCGUUCAUGUAUUUGCUCAAAAGUUGAUGUGUUUGAGUAGAUUGUAUUAUUGUUUGUUUAUUCUUUAUUCUUGUUUAACAGGGAACUCAAAAAAUUAAAGGCAUAUCUUUGAGCACGUUCAUGUUAUCGAGACAGAUACACUUGAAAUCUGAUGCCUUCGCAAUGAUGGAUGGUCUUCGAUUUCUCAAUUUCCGUCAACAUACUUUAUCCAUGGAAGAUAAAAUGCACCUUCCUCCUACCGGCCUCGAAUAUCUUCCUAAUAAGCUGAGAUAUUUGAAAUGGUGUGGAUUCCCUUCGAAAUCCUUGCCGCCAUCUUUUCGUACUGAACGCCUUGUGGAGCUUCACCUAUGCAACAACAAGCUUGUAAAACUUUGGACAGGAGUGCAGGUAUGAUUUAAAUGCUGCAGAUUGAUGAUCAGAAAUAUGAAGUUGGAGGUGCUAACUUUCUAAUUAUGCCGUUUUCUUUUGACAGGAUGUUGGAAAUUUAAGAACAAUUGACCUAUCUGACUCUCCAUAUUUGACGGAAUUGCCAGAUCUAUCAAUGGCCAAAAAUUUACAGUGCUUAAGACUUGCGAAGUGUUCAAGUUUAACCGAGGUUCCGUCAUCUCUUCAAUAUCUUGACAAGCUGGAAGAAAUUGAUCUCUUUUCUUGCUAUAAUCUUAGAAGUUUUCCGAUGCUUGAUUCAAAGGUUCUCAGAAAACUUGUUAUAAGUCGGUGCCUAGAUGUGACCAAGUGUCCAACGAUUUCACAAAAUAUGGUAUGGUUACAGUUGGAACAAACUUCAAUCAAAGAAGUUCCACAAUCAGUUACUAGCAAGUUGGAACGUCUUUGUCUAAAUGGUUGCCCAGAGAUCACCAAGUUUCCAGAGAUUUCAGGGGAUAUAGAAAGAUUAGAACUAAAGGGAACUACUAUUAAAGAGGUGCCCUCAUCAAUCCAGUUUCUCACAAGACUCCGUGAUUUGGAUAUGAGUGGUUGCUCAAAACUUGAGAGCUUCCCAGAAAUCACAGGGCCUAUGAAAUCUUUGGUGGAGCUUAACUUGAGUAAAACAGGCAUUAAAAAGAUACCCUCAUCAUCAUUUAAGCAUAUGAUAUCUUUGAGGCGUCUAAAAUUAGAUGGAACGCCUAUUAAAGAGUUACCUGAGCUUCCCCCUUCGCUUUGGAUUCUAACAACACAUGACUGUGCAUCACUAGAAACCGUGAUAUCAAUCAUCAAAAUCAGAAGUUUAUGGGAUGUAUUGGAUUUUACAAAUUGCUUCAAAUUGGAUCAGAAACCGCUGGUAGCAGCAAUGCAUUUGAAAAUUCAGGUAUCUCUCUAAACCCCCUUGUCUUUCUUUCUUCUCUCUUUCUUGCUUGCUUCAUCACAUUUUUGAAAUGUGACUUUUGUGUUACAGUCCGGAGAUAAGAUCCCACACGGCGGAAUUAAAAUGGUUCUACCGGGGAGUGAAAUUCCAGAAUGGUUCGGUGAAAAAGGAAUUGGAUCUUCACUCACCAUGCAGUUGCCGUCCAAUUGUCAUCAGCUCAAGGGAAUUGCUUUCUGCCUUGUCUUUCUACUCCCUCUUCCCUCCCAUGACAUGCCUUACAAAGUCGAUGAUCUUUUUCCUGUUGAAUUUCGUUUUGAUUACCAUGUUAAGAGUAAAAACGGUGAGCAUGAUGGUGAUGAUGAAGUCGUCUUAGUUUCCAUGGAAAAAUGUGCUCUAACAUGUAACAUGAAGACAUGUGACUCGGAUCACAUGGUUCUACAUUACGAGCUCGAGAACAUAUUGGUAUAUUUUUUACGUAAAUAUUCUGGCAAUGAAGUUACAUUUAAAUUCUACCACCAAGAAGUGGACAACAUGGCGAGGAGGGUAGGUCAUGAGAUCCAAAGGCCGAUCCAAAGGCCUAAUUUCGAGUUGAAAAGCUGUGGGGUGUAUCUGCACUUUGAUGAAAAUCUACCGGCGGACAAAAGUUCAGAAGAAAAUUGAGGGAGAAAUAGAAAGAGAUUGAAAGGGAGAGAGAGUUCUGUAAUUACUGCAAAUUGUUCUUCAAUUAUUACUUGCUUUUCAAGAUAGCUGUAAUUAAAUAUUGUUCUUCCCAUGCAACUAACUAACAAACUUUCUGUUAUCCAACUAAUUCCUCAACAAACUGUAACAACCAUCUAACUAACUAAUGAAUCAUUAGUGCGCAUUUAUUCAUAUACAAAUUAUGAAUGACUGUCUUUAUGCUCUUCUCCACCUUAAUUCACUUGUAAGUUUGGUUUUCUAUUUCUACAAAUAAAUAAAUAUAUUUGUAUACGUCCAUGUUUUGGAUCUUUGAUUUCUAUUUACUAACCAAAUAACGAAAACUUGUUUGUCUCAAGCAAUAAUUAACCAUCAAACACUAAAAGAACCAACUUUUUCAUGGGUUCAUAUCAGCAUUAAUUCAACCAAUUCUUGUUGCUUAUUCGAACAAAAACCUCGCAGAAAUCUCAAGAAAACGCAGGAUGCAGCUCUCCCUCUCUGUGAUGAAACUUUCGGUGGGCUUAGAGGCAAGAUCAAGAACCAACUUUAUCAAAAAUCACAGGAGCCACUAAAACCCAUCUUUCGAAAAACACAAUUAACUGAUAACAAAUCUUAUGCAAUGUAUUAUAUAAAUCUCCACUUUCAAAUUGAAGUUACAAUCAUCUUCCUCAGUUAUCAUAUUCUCAAUUGUUUGGCAAACAUAAACAACAAAAUAUAAAAGAAUAUAACGAGUUAGUAGAUUCUCAAUUCACAAAACCAAGUUUAAUGACUAAUGAAGAAACCAAGUUGUUCCGUGAAUUCACAGUUUUCCUAUCUACUGGGCAGAGUCUUGAAAAUUGCAGGGGCAAGAAAGAUUUAAAUGACCUGAACUAGACACCAUUUAAAAUUAAAAGAAUAGAUGGUGAAGGCCCCAGCAUGAUUCAGUGACGGCAAGGCAAGGAAAAUUAGGGAAUGAAUUAGGCAAACAUUCUCUUUGCCUAAUUCAUUACAUUAUUAAUAGCACUCCUGUGUUGGUGUUCCUGAGCACAUGAUAUCAAUGCACUUGAUUAGAGAAAUGUACAAAACUUGUUCUUUUAUCUGGUAUUAACAUACAAAAUUUGUUUUUCAAGAGGUGAGCAAUGAUAGAAUGUUUCUUAUUCUUUGUACAUGUACAGCUUAGUUAAGUUAUCAGAAUUAUACACCACACUCCAAUAAAUGCCGCCUCCAUGCCUAUGCUUCUGAAAGAUCUACUUUCUCAUUCAAUGGAGUCACUGAUUGAGGUCAUGGAUUCUGAACUUCAGUUUCAGAUGGUUGGGAUUCAUGCUUUGCAGCAGCUUGCAGAACCCGGUUUUGAACAUCUGAGGAUGAAGGUGAUGUAGGUAAACCAAUGCGGUUGUUUUCCAGUUUUCCUGCUGCCCAUGAAAAUGCCUGGACUCCAAGUCUAACAGGGGAGAGAAAACGCCUUCAAAGAAGCAUUUGAAAUCCCAGUCAAUCAAGAUCUCAACAAUCCAAAAACUUGGUUAAACAUGAUCCUGUUAGAAUAUAUGAGAAUAUGCCUCUGAAGAUAACUGUUAGACUUAGUCUUUGGAGUAUUGUUUCUUAACAGAGUCUGAUGCAAGUUUUACUCAAGUUUUACUAUUUUUUCUGUUAUUAGAAGUAAUCCAAUAAUCUCUCAUGUCUGUUGAGAUUUUACAGCAUAUUAUUUCAGUGUUUUUGAGUUUGAUUGUAAGUCUUUAAAUAGGUAUUCUUAUUUUAUAAUACUAUUAUCUUUCAGCUUCAACAUUCUCUCUUUUAAGAAUUCUCUGCAAAUUGUUAUUCAUUGCAAUUGCAGAUUUUAACACCAAAUACUGAAAAGAAUCUAACUGUGAAAAUGAUUAAAUAACUUCUAAAUGUCUGGUGGAGGUUGGGAAAUAUGAACCUUGAUAAUGUCAUAGGCAGUUUGGUUAUCAACACGACUCAGACUUCUGACAUUAUUAGAACAUGGUCAAGAACCUAGUGUUGAAAGAACAUUUAGACACAAAAGAGAUUUGCUAUUUACAAGAUUUUCCAUGCCCUUUACUGUGCGAACACCAAGGUUCAUUUUGUUAAUAAAAAUUAAUCGUCCCAGUCAACAUGUUCAUUUUAUUUCCAUUAUGGUUUACCAAAUUGUGUCAGUUAUACCAUAAAUACAUGAAGGACAAAAGACUUCUGGGGAUCUAGCUUAAUGGUCGAAUGCACGUCAUUUUUAUGGAAUACAUCGAAGGAUCUGAGUACUAGCACAAUAUCAGCUUAGAAAUCAACAUCUCUCUGUGUGUAAAAGAAACAUUGACCAAACCACUAUAACAAAUAAGAGUAUACCUGACUGAAGCCAACGAUGGCAACAGUUUGGCAAGAAGAAUGUGAAGUAGGUUUUUUUUCUUUUUCCCAUCACGUCCAAUUUAUGCUGUAUUACUUCUAUAAGUUAUAUGCUUUCAUUCCUUGUCUCUUUUUGCUUUUAUGUUUCUUCUGUUUUGUACAGCACUGAAUGGGUUCGGAGCUAAAUUUCCUUUCCAGGUUGUUGAAUGAAUUUAAGUUUAAAAUUAUCUUAAUUCAUUACUGUGUUCAUUAUAUUUGUUCUUUAUACUUGUGUGUUAAGACAAUGCUAUGAGAUGAUCAUUUCCUGUUGUACAAACUGAAUAAAAAACCAUUGAAAAAAAAACGGAUAACGGAUAACAAAUUGAAUAAAACAACAGAGACCAACUCUUAAACAAACUAAAAAAACCAUUGAAAAAAAAAAUCGAAUCAAUCCGGGUUAACUUGACUAACAUGUGAUUUGAGAUAUGAGAUCAGAAUAACUUUGUAAAAAAAAAACAAAAAAAAUCAUGAAUUUCAAGACCCAAUAACCUAAUGUCGAAUGAUAAAAUUAAAAAAAAAAAAACUCUUACAAAGAACUUAAAAAGAUCAAAGUUAAAUUGGGUUAAUAUUUGAAAUCUGUAAUAUAGGUUAUGAGAUCAGAAUUACUCUAUAGAAGAUAAACACAAAAAAAUCACAAAGCAAAAUUCCUAAUUAUUCAAGAUUAAAAAAAAAUAUAUCAAUUAAAAAAAUAAAGAUCAUAUUUUAAAAUAAAAUGAGAUAAAAUAAUGAGGGACUAAAUUGAAAAAUAAUAUAAAUUAAGAAAAUUAAAAAAAAAAAGUAAUCAAAUGAAUGAGUAUCAAAUUGAAUAUAAUAAUUAAAUAAAAUAAAAUUUUAAGGGAUGAAAUUGAAAUAAAAAAUCAAGACAUAAAAAACAAAAAACACAUAGCAAUUAAAAGAACACGGAUCAAAUUGAAUACAAAAACUAAAUGAAAUAAAAUGUUGAAAGAUAAAAUUAAAAAAAAAUUCAACUUUAAAAAGUAUUAAAAGUAAAACAAAUAAUAAUUAAAAAAUAAAAAAAAUUGAUACAAAUAUAAAUUAAAUAUGACAUAUUUAAUUUUUGAAAGAGAUGACAUGAAACUCAAAGCUAGAAAAGAAAAAUAAAGAAGAAUCGAACAUGACACAUUUAAGGAAAAUUUUAAAAAAUUAAUUUAAUUAAUUUAAAAUUUUUCUUUAAGAAACAUUUAAUUUAUUUCACUGUGUUUCCAAACACUUGAUUGUGGCGUGUCUAUUACUGGGGUAGAGUAAUAAGUUCCUCCCAUCCCAAUCAAAUCAUCACAGCCAUUAUAAUAUAUUAAAAAUAAACAAAGAACAAGGCUGGUGUAGGUAUCGACUGCUACACCGUGUGUGUGUGUGUACACAAUCUUUCACACCCUCUGUGUAAUGUCCGAGAAAAUACAUAAUAAGUUCUUCCCAAUGAAAUCAUAAUAACCAUUAUAAUAUGGAUGGAAGACUUGAUGAUACCCUUCCCUACCAAAUUACAAAAAACAAAUAAAAAAAAUAACAAGACAUGAAGCCUUUUGUACAUAGAAAAUUUCUAGAAAGUCAAUAAUGUACACCCUCUGUGAUGUUUUAAAAAAAAUACUUGGAUUUGAGAUUUUAAUUUUUUAUUUUAAAUUAUUUUUUUUGUUUUUAAAUUAUUUUGAAGUACUGAUAUCAAAAAUAAAUUAAAAAAAUAAAAAUAUAUUAUUUUGAUGUAUUAAAAAAAACACUUUAAAAAAUAAUCACUACCACAAUAUUGAAUAGAUUCUUUAACAAAUUCUUCUUAAUCAAAUUAUUAUAAUAUAAUAUGAAGGCAAAAAUAUUCUUGGCAUGCUAAAACACUUGCCCUCAAGAUAUGGAAGGUGUUUAUAAGUGAUCUAGUAAUUGUUUUUAAAAGUAUUUUUUGAUUAAAAAUAUAUUAAAAUAAUAUUUUUUAUAAUAUCCCGAGAAAAUUCUUGGAUUUGAAAUUUUUAUAUCAGCAAAUUAAAAUAUUUUAUGUUUUUUAUUUUAAAAAAUUAUUUUUAUAUCAGCAAAUUAAAAUAAUAAAAAAACUAAAAAAAUUAAUUUAAAAAAAAUUAAAAUUUAUAAAAACACUGCAUUACCAUAAAAACAAAACAGCGUAUAAAUUCCUUUUUCUAUCACAUCACCUUGUAACUGGGGAAUUUCCAGGAAAUCAACAAUGUGCAAUCUUGUAAUCUUCUAAGAAAAUUCUUGGAUUUGAUGCCCCCAUUAUUGUAAUUAUAAAUAUGCCUAAGCCAGGGUCUUAAACACGUAAAGCCUAAGAAAAUUUCCAUUAUUGGAUUUGAUGUCUUGUUUCUUCGAAGUGUUUGCUUAUAUCUGGAGAUUCAUCAUACGAAACCCCCGUGUUUCUCCAUCGCCAUCUACUCCUUCCACCUUAACCACCGCCCAGCCACAAGUAAUGAAAUAUAAUGUCUUCCUUAGUUUCAGAGGAGAAGACACUCGUUUUGAUUUUACCAGCCACCUCUAUGCCGCUUUGAACCGGAAGCAAAUCCUGACUUUCAUAGAUUAUCAGCUUGUGAGAGGAGAUGAGAUCUCGGCAUCACUUCUGAGAACAAUUGAAGAGGCCAAGCUUUCUGUGAUUGUUUUUUCUGAAAACUAUGCAUCUUCCAAAUGGUGCUUGGAGGAGCUUGCAAAGAUUUUUGAGCGUAGAAAAAAUAAUGGACAGAUAGUUAUUCCGGUAUUCUACCAGGUGGAUCCAUCCCAUGUAAGAAAUCAAACAGGAAGCUUUGGGGAUGCAUUUGCUAGACUUAUAAAGAAGAAAGCUUUGACGAUGGACAAAGAGCAGAGCUUCAGAGACGCUUUGAAGGAUACAGCCACUCUAUCUGGAUGGACCUUAGGGAAUUCUCAGUAAGCUCUUGAAAUAUAUCCCAUGAGAAAAUAUUCGUUCUUUUGUUGAGCAUUUGAAAUUUAAUUUAAAAUUAUUGACAAUGAUGAUCUCUAUGAAUCCGUAUUUAUUUAAUUUGAUUUUGAAAACGUUGUAGCGAAACCCUUGUACAUAUCUUAAGUUUUAGGAGACAGAAAAAAGAUACUUAAGAAUCCUUAUGUUAAAUUUUAUUAGGACAAUCAAUGUUUUCUUCUUUGUAAGUCUAUUCAUAAAGACUUAUAAAGAAUCGGGUCAUUACUAGUCUAUUUAUUUGAGGUGAAAAAGAUUAUAUAAAUUAUAUGUUUUGAAAUUUUCUCCUAACAACUUAAAUUAAACUUUUUUAAUUAAAAUAAUUAUAUGAUAUGAGAAAACAUCUUAUGCAUUUGCAUAUCAAUGCUUUUUUCUGUUGUUUUACUUGGAAUUUGAUCACUAAUAAUUUAUUUAUUUGAGGUGAAAAAAUUAUGAUGUGUUGAAAAAUAAUAUAAAUUAUAUUUUAAGAUUUUUUUUUCUAAUAUCUUAACUUAUUUUGCUUAAUAUUUUUUUAUUGAGAUGAUUCUAUGAUAAGAUGAUACGAAAAAACAUCUUAUUUAUGUAUUUGCAUUUCAUUGAUUUUCUUAGAUAUAUACUUGCAAGUAGUUUCCAGUUUCUAUGAUUGAUUAACUGUAGCUUGAGAUAAAUAGGGAGCUGCUGCAUAUUUAUAAACUCAAAUGCAUUCUCUCGGGAGGCCCAGUAAGAGAAUCUUGUCCAGGUGUAUGAAUACAUGCUCACCUUAUAAAAGAGCAUAAUAUAGAUAGAGGCUCUUCCUUUCUUUCCCAGCGUAUAAUAUAGUUUCCAGUUUCAAUGAUUGAUCCUUUAUUUGUUAUUGGAUGAGUCACUAGUCUUUCCUACUCGAUGUCAUCAUCGAUUCAUGUGUUACAUUAGCACUAUCCAUUGCUAAUAAUGAUGCUCAAUUACUCGUACGUGUCUACUAUGUAUAGAUGUAGCUACUAAGGAGUGAGUAUGUUUAUAUGUUUCUUCUUGUCCGGUCCAUUUUGACUAACAAUUAGGUGUGUUUUUCUUGUUUGUCAGGCUGGAGUCUGAAUUUAUUGAGAAAAUCGUUGGAGAUGUUUCGAACAAAUUACAAGCCAUGUCUUCAAGUCACACUACAGCUCUAUUUGGAAUUGAUGUUCGUGUUAACAAAGUUGAGUCUUUGUUAAAAAUGGAAUCUCCAGAUGUUCUCAUUGUAGGGAUACGGGGAAUGGGUGGUAUCGGUAAGACAACGAUUGCUCAAGCUGUGAGCAACAAGGUUCGUUCUCGAUUUGAAGGAAUCUUUUUUGCAAACUUUAGGCAAGAAUUAGAAACAGGUUCCAUGGCUGAUUUGCAAAGAAGAUUUCUUUCACAGCUGCUUGGCCAAGAAAUUCUGAACAAUAGCUUCUUGAGUUUUCGAGAUUCUUUUGUGAGGGAGAGACUUCGUCGUAAAACGGUUUUUAUUGUUCUGGAUGAUGUGGAUGAUUCAAUCCCUUUGGAAGGAUGGACAGAUUUGCUUGAUGGACGCAGUUCAUUUGGUCGGGGCAGUAAAGUUCUCAUAACAAGUAGGGAUAAACAAGUGUUUAAGAAUGUAGUAGACGAAACAUACGAGGUUGAGGGGUUGAACUAUGAAGACUCUCUUAAACUCUUUAGCUCAAAAGCCUUGAAGAAUUGCAGCCCCACAAUUGAUCAUAGAGAAUUGAUAGAAAAGAUUGCAAGUCAUGUACAAGGCAAUCCGUUGGCUCUUAUAGAUUUGGGUUCCUCUCUCUAUGGUAAAAGCACUGUAGAAUGGUGCAGUGCAUUGAAUAAACUAGCUCAGAACCCUCGAAUCGAAAAGGCAUAAAGAAUUAGUUACAAUGGGUUGGAAGUUGGAUCAAGAAUAACAAUCCAUAUUUCUUGAUGUAGCACAUUUCUUCAGAAGAUUUGAACAAAACCAAGUUACAAGAAUAUUAGAUGGCUUUUAUUGUCGGCCUGUGGUUUUUGAUAAAAGCACGCUCAUUGAUGAGUGUCUCAUAACUACUUCUCAUAACAUGCUAGAAAUGGUAUUUAGCAUUGUUUGUGUAAAAUCUAAGUUUCCUGGAAAACUUAUGCGGAACAAUAAAUGUAGGCUUGGUUUCAGACCUGGUUUCCAUUAUGAUUUACCAAAUUGUGCCACUUACACCAUAAAUACAUGAAAGACAAAAGACUUCUCGGGUAGGUUAUACUCACAUCUUCAGGGUCAUUGUAAGAAGCAACCCGCCGAUAAAUAGUCUGAUAGAGCGUGAGAAACCAAUAAUUAGAGAAACUUAAGAUUCACUAAACUAAAUUUAGUAAUGACAUAAAACUUUCCCCAGGACGCAUGCAAAAUAGACAAAGGAUCUGAGUACUUGCACAAUAUCAGAAAAGUGUGAAGUUUGUUUUGAACAUUAUCAGCUUAGAAAUCAACAUCUGUGUAUGUGUGAAAGAACCAUUGACCAAAGCACUAUAACAAAUAAGAGCAUACAUGACUGAGGCCAAUGAUGGCAAUAAAUUGUAAAUUAUAAGGUCUUCUCCCACUCUGAAACCAAUUCAAGCUUGGUUGGCAAGAAGAAUGCGAGGAAAGCAACGAAAAGGAAAUGAAAAAAAUUAUAGAAAACAUGAAUUUAUAUCGUUGGUUCUAUAUGAUAAUAAAAAAGCUCAUAAAAUCAGUCACAGCCCAAUACUAAAAUAUUUAUUUUAAUAGAGAAAAUGGGUGAAGAUUCGUUUAGCAGGACUGGGAUGCAAAAACAGAGUAUUUUACAGAAUUGCUGCUGCUGAUAGCCAUACUCUAAGAGAUGGCAAACACCUUCAGGUUGGUUUCUACGACCCCUUAGCAGUUUCCCUCUUCUUCUCUUAUUAUUUUCAUAUGCUCAGUUCACAUGAAGAUUUUUUUUCUAAUUUUAAAGACCUGGACUUUGAAGGCUUAUUGUGUUUAUUUUCAGGUUCUCAUAAAAUCAUUGAGUAUUUCUUUCCUCUUUUGUUUUUCCGCAUAAGGUUGGAUGUAGGCGUAAAAUGACAUGAAAGCUCACAUCAUGAAAAUCACCAGUUGUCGUUAUCAACAGUCAUAGCACUCGCCAGGAAGAGUACUUAAGGUCAAUAUGAAGAGGAGGAUUGGCCCCAUCGAUCCCCCGUCCCUUCCUCUCUCCUUCAAGACGACUUCUUUUUCUUCUUCUUCUUCACAAUCAAUAUAUAUAUAUAUAUAUAUAUAUAUAUAUAUAUAUAUAUAUAUUUAUUUGGAUGGAUUGUGUGUAAUGAGGUGGAAGGAAGCAUGUAAAAAGAAGAAGUAAUUAUAAUUACAUGGGGCAGAGUAGCAUGUAAAAAGAAGAAGUAAUUAUAAUUACAUGGCUGCAUGCCAAUUAUGUUGCCCAAAGCAGUAAACAGAACCACUACUGUGAUUUUCCAUCCCUUUUAUAUUAAAGUCGUAGUUUAAAAUAGCAGUUUUUUUAAAACCAUGUUUUUUUAAAAAAAAAUUAAAUUAAACCAUAUUAUAUAUUUCUCUAACUGUAUCAAUUUUUUUUAAAAAAAAAUUCCUAUUAUUGGGGCAGAGUAACAAGUUUUUCCCAAUGAAAUCCUUAUAAUCACUAUAAUAUAAUUGGAAGUCAACAAAGUCCUAGUACGUGCAAACACUUGUAUCGAAGACUCGAUGCCCUUCCUACCAAAUCACAAAAAAAAAAAAAAAACAAAUAACAAGACAUUAAACCUUUCUGUAACGUCCGAGAAAAUACAUGGAUUUGAUUUUUUAUUUUAAAUUAAUUUUUAUAUUUUUAUAUCAUUUUAAUAUAUUGAUAUAAAAAAUAAAUGUUAAAAAAUUAAAAAUAUAUAUUAUUUUAAUGUAUUUUCAAGUAAAAAUUAUCUUGAAGAACAAAAGCAACUGUUUCUUAAAAAAAUAAAGACAAAAAAUUCGUAAUUUCCAGGAAAAUUAUAAAAGAAUUUGAAGUAAAAAUUAAUAGAAUAAAGAAUGAUGUGGGACAGAAGUAAUUAUUUUACUGUUUCUUUUCUUCUUCUUCUUCUUCUCGUCAACAGUCAUGUUGACGAGAAACACAUAAUUUCCAAACUCAGCUUCCCGAACACGCUGCCCAAGCACUCGCCAGGAAGACUACUUAAGGUCAAGUCGUCGUCCCCGUCAAUAUGAAGAAGAGGAUUGGCCCCAUCGGUCCCCCGUCCCUUCCUCUCUCCUUCAAGACAACUUCUUUUUCUUCUUCUUCUUCACAAUAAAUAAAUAUAUAUAUAUAUAUAUAUAAAAGGAAAAUGGAAAUGGCAUCUGCCUAUUUAUUUGGAUAGAUUGUGUGUAAUGAGGUGGAAGGAAGCAUGUAAAAAGAAGAAGAAGUAAUUAUAAUUACAUGGCUGCAUGCCAAUUAUGUUGCCAAAAGCAGUAAACAGAACCACUACUGUGAUUUUCCAUCCCUUUUAUAUUAAAGUCGUAGCUAAAUGCGCUUUCCUUUCCCUGUUCCCCAUCACAGAAAAACAAAUAACAAGACCUGAAGCCUUUUGUACAUGAGAAAUUUACAGGAAGUCAACAGCGUGCACCCACUCUAAUGUCCUCAGAACAUACUUGGAUUUGAAUUUUGUUUAUUUUUUUUAUUUUAAAUUAAUUUUUUUAUGUUUUAAUAUCAUUUUGUUAUUUUGAUAUAAAAAAUGAAUUUUAAAAAAUAUAUUAUUUUAAUAUAUUUUCAAAUAAAAAAACAGUUUGAAUAACAAAUGCUAACACAAUAUCAAAUAGGUUCUCUAACCAGUUCUUUUCAAUUAAAUUAUUAUAACCAUUAUAAUAUAAAAUGAAGGUAAAAAAGUCCUCCGUAAGGCAAACACUUGGACUGAAGAUAUGGAGGGUGUUUACGAGUAUGAUAACAAAUGUUUUUUUAAAUAUUUUUUAUUUAAAAAAAUAUUAAGAUAAUAUAUUUUUUAUUUUUAAAGAAUUAUAUUUGACAUUAACACCUCAAAACAAAAAAAAAAUAAAAAUAAAAAUUAAUCUCAAAUAAAAUAUAUAAAAAUUCAAAAUUUAUUAAAAUAUUAGUUAUACCGCAAAGACAAACAAAACUAUGCGUUUUCCUUCCCCGUCACAGAAAAGCAUAUAACAAGACCUGAAGCCUUUUAUACAUGAGAAAUUUACAGUAUGUCAACAGUGUGCACCCUCUCUAAUGUCCUCAGAAAAUACUUGGAUUUGAUGCCUCAAUUAUUAUAAUUGUACAUAUGCCUCUAAUUAUAUUUAUAAGUGAUAAAAGACUAAAUUUUCUUGAUUUCAUAUGGAUUGUAACUAAAAAGCUAUGAAAAAAAUAUACAAAAAACUCUUGGAUAUUAAUUUUAUUUUUUUUGCAUUUACGAGCAAUAUAGUCAUUUCAUUACGUUAUCAAAACGUUAAAAGAUUAUAACACUUAUAGUCAUUUCAUUACGUUAAAAUUAAACAAAAAAAUAACAAGUUUGCUAUAUAAAAAAUAAAAAUGGAUGCAUGUCAUUCCCUCAUUGAAAAAAUUCCACAUGUGGACCUAGCCUUUCUAGGGCUAAGGGAGCAAAUCUUACAAAUUAAAAAGUUGAAUUAGAAUGAAAUUGAAAAAAAAUAUAAUUUCAUAAAUUAUCUCAAAUAAAAUAAAUAAUAAUCAAAAUAAUAGAGAUCAAAUCUAAAAAAUAAAAAAAUAAAAGAUGAAAAAAUUAAAAUAAUAAUAAUAAAUAUUUCAUAAAUUAUUUCAAAUAAAAUAAGUAACAAUCAAAAGAAUGAGGAUCAAAUUUGAUAGAUAAAAAAGUUUAAUAAAAAAAUAAUAAGAGAAAAACAAAUAACAAUUAUAAAAAUGAGAACCAAAGUUAAUAUAAAAAUUAAAUUUUAAGAGAUGAAAUUGAAAAUAAAUAUUCAAAACAAAAUAUAUAUAGCAAUGAAAAGUUUGAGGACCAAAUUUGAUAUAAUCAGCAAAUAAUAUAAUAUUUCUAAAUUUUUCAUAACUUCCAGAUAAUAUAGGUAAAAAAGAGACAAAACAAUUGCUCUAAGAGUUCAAUUGUUUCAAGCCUAACAAAGCAGCUUAGUCUUAAUAGGAAUGUAUCCUAUAUUAACAAAAUCCUCUAAACCGUGUGGGGGAUUUACUGUUCCCCCACACACACAAAACACUGUGGAUUACAACAGUAAUUCACAGUGUUUUUUUUUCCUUCUUUUUUUUGCUAACUUUUCCCUUUUUUCUUUUUUUUUUUUUUUUUGUUUUUUUUUUUGCAAAAAAGUUUUUUUCAACUUUCUUAUUUUUUCUUUUUUUUUCAUUUAUUUUUUUUUCAAAACUAUUUUUUGUUGAUUUUACCUUUUAAAUAUUGACAUGGUUAAAAUUUUUGCUUUGUAAUUUUUUUUUUAAAUACUAUGGAUUGCUGCGAUGUUUUUCCACUUAGUUUUUCUAUUUUAUUUCUUUAUUUUUCAAAAUGAUAUUUGUCGAUUUUUUUUUAAUAUUGAGCUAAUUGAGAAUUUGGUUUUGUAAUUUUUUUCUUUAAAACAUUGUUGAUUGCUACAGUGUUUCUCCGCAUGGUUUUUUUUCCUCCAAAAUUAUCUUUAUUUUAUUUUAUUUUUUAAUAUUGAGCUGGUUAAAAAUUACAGUUACAAUAUGUGAGGAAAGCACUAUAACUUUUUUUGAAAAUUACUGUCCAUUGCUGCAGUGUUUUUUCCCAUAUGGUUUUUUUUAUAAUUUUUUUCAAAUUAUCCUUUUUAAUUUUAUUUUUUUAAUAUUGAGUUGUUUGUUAAUUACAAUUACAAGUCAUUAUAAAUAAGGCUAAAUCAUGUGAGGAAGCACUAUAGCUUUCAUCACAAAACACUGUGAAUUGCUACAGUGUUUCCAACAUGAUUUUUUUUUCCUUUUUUUUGUGUUUGUUUUGUUAUUUUUUUUUUAUAAAAUUGUCUCUAUCAAUUUUGUUUUUAAUAUUGAGCUGACUAAGAAUUUAACUUUGUAAUUUUUCUUCUUUAAAACACUGUGAAUUGUUGCAGUGUUUUCCCAUGUGAUUUUUUUAUGAUUUUUUCCAAAAUUAUCUUUGUCGAUUUUUUUUUAAUGACCUGGUUAAAAUUUUUGCUUUGUAAUUUUUUUUUAAAUACUGUGGAUUGUUGCGAUGUUUUUCCACUUAUUUUUUCUAUUUUAUUUCUUUAUUUUUCAAAAUUAUAUUUGUUGAUUUUUUUUAAUAUUGAGCUGAUUGAGAAUUUGGUUUUUUAAUUUUUUUCUUUAAAACAUUGUUGAUUGCUACAGUGUUUCUCCGCAUGGUUUUUUUUCCUCCAAAAUUAUCUUUAUUUUAUUUUAUUUUUUAAUAUUGAGCUGGUUAAAAAUUACAGUUACAAUAUAUGAGGAAAGCACUAUAACUUUUUUUUGAAAAUUACUGUCCAUUGCUGCAGUGUUUUUUCCCAUAUGGUUUUUUUUAUAAUUUUUUUCAAAUUAUCCUUUUUAAUUUUAUUUUUUUAAUAUUGAGUUGUUUGUGAAUUACAAUUACAAGUCAUUACAAAUAAGGCUAAAUCAUGUGGGGAAGCACUGUAGCUUUCAUCACAAAACACUGUGAAUUGCUACAGUGUUUCCAACAUGAUUUUUUUUUCCUUUUUUUGGUGUUUGUUUUGUUAUUUUUUUUUAUAAAAUUAUCUCUAUCGAUUUUUUUUUUAAUAUUGAGCUGAUUAAGAAUUAAAAUUUGUAAUUUUUCUUCUUUAAAACACUGUGAAUUGUUACAGUGUUUUCCCAUGUGAUUUUUUUAUGAUUUUUUUCAAAAUUAUCUUUGUCGAUUUUUUUUUAAUAUUGAGUUGGUUAAGAAUUAUAAUUACAAUAAAACUAAAUCAUAUGAGGAAAGCGUUGUAGUUUUUCUCACAAAAUACUGUGGAUUGUUACAAUAUUUCUCUAAAUGUUUUUUAUUUUAUUUUAUUGGGAAAAGUGUUAUAGUUUUCCUCCCAAAACAUUGUCAAUUACUACUACGUUUUUUCUCAUGGGUUUUUUUCCUUCCAAAAUUAUCUUUGUUGGUUUUUUUUUUUAAAAUAUUAAGUUGGUGAAGAAUUUAGCUUUGUAAUUUUUUUUUUUUUAUUAACUGAAAAGCUAAAUCAUGUGAUGAAAAUACUGUAUCUUUCAUCACAAAAUACUGUAAAUUGCUAUAAAUCAUUUUGUUCAGUCUCUAAGUUUUGGAUCGCCAACACAACUUUUUUUUCGUCAUGAAAUAUUUGCUCCAUCAUACCUUUAAUUUCUAUUACUUAUAUAGCGCUGGUUCACAAUUAUAACACUAUCAAGUGCAUUUGUUUUAUAAGCCCACGGCAGCGCGCGGGCAUGUCAUCUCAUAAUUAUUAAAUCAAAUCCAGGAGUUGACCUUGUAUGUCAAACGGGUUUGCUGGGCUAAUUGCUGGUCUGGUUUUUAACCGAUGCAGAUAAAAAAAAACGAAUAACAAACACUUGAUUGUUGCGUGUAGAAGACUUGAUGCCCAUUCCUACCAAAUCACAAAUAAACAAAGAACAAGACCUGAAGGCUGAAGCCUUCUUGUACAUGGGAAUUUGGUAAUUUCAAUUUUUAAGGAAGACUUAAGAUCAAGUCGUCGUCCCCAUCAAUAAUUACUUCUUCUUUUUACAUGAUUCCUUCCAGCUCAUUACACACAAUCUAUCAUCCGCAGAUGACUUAAGGAACACUCGAUGCCCUUCCUACCAAAUCACAAAUAAACAAAGAACAAGACCUGAAGCCUUUUUAUACAGGAAAUUACCAAGUAGAUGUGCACCCUCUGUAACGUCCAAGAAAAUACAUGGAUUUGAUUUUUUUUUAUUUUAAAUUAUUUUUAUAUCAUUUCAAUGGACUGAAUAAAAAAUUACCAAGUAGAUGUGCACCCUCUGUAAGCCUUCUGUGCAUGGAAAAUUUCCAGGAAGCUAACAAUGUGCACCUUUUGUGAUGCCCUGAGAAAAUACUUGAAUUUAAUUUUUUUUUAUUUUUUGUUUACUUUAAAUUAAUUUUUGUGUGUGUUUUAAUUAUAUUAUUUUGACUUUCUGAUAUCAAAAAUAAAUUUUUUUAAAAAAAAUAUUAUUUUGAUGCAUUUCUAAUAAAAAAACAAUUUGAAAAAUAACCACUAAUACAAUAUGAAACAUGCUCUCUAACAAGUUCUUUUCAAUUAAAUCAUCAUAACCAUUAUAAUAUAAUAUGAAGGCAAAAGUGUCCUCCGAAAGGCAAAUACUUGGAUUGAAGUUAUAGAAGGUGUUUACGAGUAUGGUAUAAUUAUUUUUUAAAGUAUUUUUUAUUUAAAUAUAUAUUAAGAUAAUAUAUUUUUUAUUUUUAAAGAAUUAUUUUUACUAUAACAUAUUAAAACAAACCGAAAAAAACUAAAACAAAUUAAUCUUAAAUAAAAAAUAAAAAAAAUCAAAAUUUAUAAAAAUUAACAUUGUUUAUAGGCAAAGAUAAAAUCGCCUUUCCUUCCAUGUGCAUGGCAGCUCCACUGGGCUGCUACGGGAAAUUAUAAUGUAUUAAAAUAUUGUUUUUAUUUUUUAAAAAAUUAUUUUAAUUUUAGUAUAUUAAAACAAUUUAAAAAUAUAAAAAUAUUAAAUUUUUAUUUUUUUUAUAAAAAAAAACAGUAUAUUUCUAAAAAGUGUUCUGACACAUUUUGAUAUGACCAUUAUCAAAAGCAACCAUUCCUUAAAAAUGAAGACAGGAAAUUCGUAAUUUCCAGGAAAAUUAUAAAAGAAUUUGAAGUAAUAAUUAAUAGACUAAAGAAUGAUCGAUGUGGGACAUACAGAAGUGUUUAGUAUUUUUAAAAAAUAUAUAAUAAAAAAGUUAAAGAGAAAAUAACAAAAGAUCAGCUACUCCGCCAAGUGAAUACCUAAUACAUUGGAUUACUCAACCAAUGUGCAAUCUUGUAACUGGGGAAUUUCCAGGAAAUCAACAAUGUACGUGCAAUCUUGUAAUGUUCUAAGAAAAUUCUUGGAUUUGAUGCCUAUAAAUUAUACAUAUGCCUAAGGCAGGUUCUUAAACACGUAAAGCCUAAGCUACUGUUUCAAAAUCAGCCUCAUCUUUUUUCCUUGAGUUACUUCCGUUCUCUCCCUACGUACAGACCUACCUUGCCACCAGAGUCCUACUCUUGUUUCCUCGACUGUUUCUCCACAAAACAAUGGCGUUGUUUUUCUUGUUUCUCUCUAUCUUUUUGUUUGUUUUUAUCUGGAGAUUCAUCAUACGAAACUGUCAUAUAUCUCCAUCGCCAUCUACUCCUUCCACCUUAACCACCGCCCAGCCACAAGUAAUUAAACAUGAUGUCUUCCUUAGUUUCAGGGGAGAAGACACCCGUGGUGGUUUUACCAGCCACCUCUAUGCUGCUUUGGACCGGAAACAAAUCCGAGCUUUCAUAGAUUAUCAGCUUCGGAGAGGAGAUGAGAUUUCGGCAUCACUUCUGAGAACAAUUGAAGAGGCCAAGCUUUCUGUGAUUGUUUUUUCUGAAAACUAUGCAUCUUCCAAAUGGUGCUUGGAGGAGCUUGCAAAGAUUAUUGAGCGUAGAAGAAAUAAUGGACAGAUAGUUAUUCCAGUAUUCUACAAGGUGGAUCCAUCCCAUGUAAGAAAUCAAACACGAAGCUUUGGAGAUGCAUUGGCUAGAUUGAUAAAGAAGAAAGCUUUGACGAUGGACAAAGAGCAGAGCUUCAGAGACGCUUUGACGGCUGCAGCCAAUCUAUCUGGAUGGAGCUUAGGGAAUUCUGAGUAAGCUCUUGACAUAUAUCCCAUGAGAAAAUUUUCGUUCAUUUGUUGAGGAUUUGAAAUUUAAUUUAAAAUUAUUGAGAAUGAUGAGCUCUGUGAAUCCAUAUUUAUUUUAUUUGAUUUUGAAAACUUUAUUUUGUAAAAACUUUAUUUUUUUAUUUUAAAUUAAUUUUUAGUGUUUUUAAAUUAUUUUAAUAUGUUUAUAUUAAAAAUAAUUUUGGAAAAAAAAUAUUAUUUGUAGUGAAACGCUGGUAUAAAUAUUAAGGCUUGUAUUGAUAUAUAUUAAGUGGUUGUUUGUUUUUAUGUUUCAAAAUGUUUUUUUUAAUUAUUCUUUUUAUUUUAAAUAUUUUUUUAGUUUUUUAAGAUUAUUUUGAUGUAUUUAUAUAAAAAAUAAUAUAUUUUUGAAAAAUAAUUUUUGAUCCUUACGGUAAAUUUUACAAGGACAGACAAUGUUUUCUUUUGUCGUUAAAUAAUAUUCUAUUUAUUUGAGGUGAAAAGGAUGAUAUGAGAAAACAUCUUAUGCAUUUGCAGUUAAUUGAUUACAUGUAGUUUCCAGUUUUCAACGUACGCUUGAUUAAUAUAGAAUGUCAUGUAUUUUUACAUUAGCACUAUCCUUGCCAAUAAUGAUGCUCAAUUACUCAUACGUGCCUGCUACUAAAAAGUGAGUAUGUUUCUAUGUGUUCUUCUUAUUUGCCAGGCUGGAGUUUGAAUUUAUUAAGAAUAUCGUUGGAGAUGUUUUGGAAAAAUUGCAUGCCAUGUCUUCAAGUCACACUAUGGCGGGUCUACUUGGAAUUGAUGUUCAUGUUAGCAAAGUUGAGUCUUUGUUAAAUAUAGAAUCUCCAGAUGUUCUCAUUGUAGGGAUAUGGGGAAUGGGUGGUAUCGGUAAGACAACGAUUGCUGAAGCUGUAUGCAACAAGGUUCAUUCUCAAUUUGAAAGAAUCUUUUUUGCAAACUGUAGGCAACAAUCUGAUUUGCCAAGAAGAUUUCUUAAACGGCUGCUUGGCCAAGAAACUCUGAACACUAUGGGCUCCUUGAGUUUUCUAGAUUCUUUUGUGAGGGAUAGACUUCGUCGAAUUAAGGUUUUCAUUGUUCUGGAUGACGUGGAUGAUUUAAUGCGUUUGGAUGAAUGGAGAGAUUUGCUUGAUGGACGAAACAAUUCAUUUGGUUCGGGCAGUAAAGUUCUCAUAACAAGUAGGAACAAGCAACUGCUUAAGAAUGUAGUUGAUGAGACAUACGAGGUUGAGGGGUUGAACUAUGCAGACGCUAUUCAACUCUUUAGCUCAAAAGCCUUGAAGAAUUGCAUCCCCACAAUUGAUCAAAGACACUUGAUAAUAAAGAAUGUAAGGCAUGUACAAGGCAAUCCGUUGGCUCUUAAAGUUUUGGGUUCCUCUCUCUAUGAUAAAAGCAUCGAAGAAUGGCGCAGUGCAUUGAAGAAACUAGCUCUGGACCCUCAAAUCGAAAGGGCGUUGAGAAUUAGUUACGAUGGGUUGGAUUUAGAACAAAAACCCAUAUUUCUUGACAUAGCACAUUUCUUCAAAGGACGGAUGCAAGGCGAAGCAACAGGAAUAUUAGAUUGCUUAUAUGGUCAGUCUGUGAAUUUUGAUAUAAGCACGCUUAUUGAUAAGUGUCUCAUAAGUACUGCAAAGGAUUACUUUCAUCGUGACAAGCUAGAAAUGCAUGAUUUACUACAAGAAAUGGCAUUUAACAUUGUUCGUGCAGAAUCUGAUUUUCCUGGCGAACGUAGCAGGUUAAGUCAUCCUCCUGAUGUCGUUCAAUUAUUGGAGGAAAAUAAGGUUAAAGCUACAGCCAUUAACUGUCGUUCAUGUAUUUGCUCAAAAGUUGAUGUGUUUGAGUAGAUUGUAUUAUUGUUUGUUUAUUCUUUAUUCUUGUUUAACAGGGUACUCAACAAAUUAAAGGCAUAUCUUUGGACAUGUCCAUGUUAUCGAGACAGAUACACUUGAAAUCUGAUGCAUUCGCAAUGAUGGAUGGUCUUCGAUUUCUCAAUAUCUAUUUCAGUCGUUACUCCAAAGAAGAUAAAAUAUUGCACCUUCCUCCUACUGGCCUUGAAUAUCUUCCUAAUGAGCUGAGAUAUUUUUUAUGGUCUAGAUUCCCUUUGAAAUCCUUGCCGCCAUCUUUUCGUGCUGAACACCUUGUCGAGCUUCACCUAAGGAAAAGCAAGCUUGUAAAACUUUGGACAGGAGUAAAGGUAUGAUUUAAUAGCUACAGAUUAUGAUCAGAAAUAUGAAGCUGGAGGUGCUAACUUUCUAAUCAUGCCUUUUUCUGUUGACAGGAUGUUGGGAAUUUAAGAAGAAUUGACCUAUCUGACUCUCCAUAUUUGACGGAAUUGCCAGAUCUAUCAAUGGCCAAAAAUUUAGUGUCCUUAGAUCUUACGGACUGUCCAAGUUUAAUCGAGGUUCCGUCAUCUCUUCAAUAUCUUGACAAGCUGGAAAAAAUUUAUCUCUUUCGUUGCUAUAAUCUUAGAAGUUUUCCAAUGCUUGAUUCAAAGGUUCUCAGAUUCCUUCUUAUAAGUCGGUGCCUGGAUGUGACCACGUGUCCAACGAUUUCACAAAAUAUGGAAUGGUUAUGGUUGGAACAAACUUCAAUCAAAGAAGUUCCACAAUCAGUUACUGGCAAGUUGGAACGUCUUUGUCUAAGUGGUUGCCCAGAGAUCACCAAGUUUCCAGAGAUUUCAGGGGAUAUAGAAAUAUUAGAUCUAAGGGGAACUGCUAUUAAAGAGGUGCCCUCAUCAAUCCAAUUUCUCACAAGACUCGAAGUGUUGGAUAUGAGUGGUUGCUCAAAACUUGAGAGCCUCCCAGAAAUCACAGUGCCUAUGGAAUCUUUGCAUAGCCUUAAGUUGAGUAAAACAGGCAUUAAAGAGAUACCCUCAUCAUUAAUUAAGCAUAUGAUAUCUUUGACGUUUCUAAAUUUAGAUGGAACGCCUAUUAAAGCGUUACCUGAGCUUCCCCCUUCGCUUCGUUAUCUAACAACACAUGACUGUGCAUCACUAGAAACCGUGACAUCAAGCAUCAAUAUCGGUAGAUUAGAGUUAGGAUUGGAUUUUACAAAUUGCUUCAAAUUGGAUCAGAAACCACUGGUAGCAGCAAUGCAUUUGAAAAUUCAGGUAUCUCUCUUAACCCCCUUGUCUUUCUUUCUUCUCUCUUUAUUGCUUGCUUCAUCACAUUUUCGAAAUGUGACUUUUGUGUUACAGUCCGGAGAGGAGAUCCCAGAUGGCGGUAUUCAAAUGGUACUACCGGGGAGUGAAAUUCCAGAAUGGUUCGGUGACAAAGGAAUUGGAUCUUCACUCACCAUGCAGUUGCCGUCCAAUUGUCAUCAGCUCAAGGGAAUUGCUUUCUGCCUUGUCUUUCUACUCCCUCUUCCCUCCCAUGACAUGCCUUAUGAAGUCGAUGAUGAUAUUGAUGUUAAUUUAUAUCUUGAUUACCAUGUUAAGAGUAAAAACGGUGAGCAUGAUGGUGAUGAUGAAGUCGUCUUAGCUUCCGGGGAAAGAUGUCAUCUAACAUCUAAAAUGAAGACAUGUGACUCGGAUCACAUGGUUCUACAUUACAUGGCUCUACGUUACGAGCUCGAAUUGGUAAAUCGUUUACGUAAAUAUUCCGGCAAUGAAGUUACAUUUAAAUUCUACCACCAUGAAGUGGUCAACAUGGCGAGGAAGGUAGGUAAUGAGAUCCAAAGGCCUUUCAAGUUGAAAAGCUGUGGGGUGUAUCUGCACUUUGGUGAAAAUCUACCGGCGGACACGGACGGGUACAGAUAUUUACCCGUUAACAAACAACGGUUCAGAAGAAAAUAAAUUGAGGGAGAAAUAAAAGAAAUUGAAAGGGAGAGAGAGUUAUGUAGUUACUGCAAAUUGAUCUUCAAUUAUUACUUGGUUUUCAAGAUAGCUGUAAAUAUUGUUAUUCCCUUGCAACUGACUAACGAACUAACUUUCUGUUAUUCAACUAAUUUCUCAACAAACUGUAACAACCAUCCAUCUAACUAAUGAAUCAUGUGCGCAUUUAUUCUUGCACAUGCAGAAUACUAUAAAUAAGAGAGUAAAAAAGCAAUUCAAUCCAAAUACACUAAUAGUAAACUGAAGGAAGGAUUCAGUUUACUAUACAAAUUAUGAAUCACUGUCCUUGUGCUCUUCUCCACCUUAAUUCACUUGUAAGUUUGGUUUUCUAUUUCUACAAAUAAAUAAAUAAAUAAAUAUAUAUAUAUAUAUACAUCUUUGAUUUCUAUUUACUAACCAAAUUACGAAAACUUGUUUGUCUCAAGCAAUAAUUAACCAUCAAACACUAAAAGAAUAAUUAACCAUCAAACACUAAAAGAACCAACUUUUUCAUGGGUUCAUAUCAGCAUUAAUUCAACCAAUUCUUUUCUAAAUUGCAAGCCUAACCAAAUUGAGAUGCAUUCUGCGAGCGUAAUUCACAAUUAGAGGCAAGAUCAAGAAAACGCAGGAUGUAGCUCUCCCUCUCUGUGAUGAAACUUACUGAUGAAACUUUCGGUGGGCUUAGAGGCAAGAUCAAGAACCAACUUUAUCAAAAAUCACAGGAGCCACUAAAACCCAUCUUUCGAAAAACACAAUUAACUGAUAACAAAUCUUAUGCAAUGUAUUAUAUAAAUCUCCACUUUCAAAUUGAAGUUACAAUCAUCUUCCACAGUUAUCAUAUUCUCAAUUGUUUGGCAAACAUAAACAACAAAAUAUAAAAAAAUAUAACCAGUUAGUUGUUCCGUGACUAAUGAAGAAACCAAGUUGUUCCGUGAAUUCACAAACUUAAAAGUUGUUCCGUGAAUUCACAGUUUUCCUAUCUACUGGGCACUCUUCCUCUUUUCCACGCCUACGCUAUAACUAAUUCUCCGCUUGUAGACGCUGGAUGAGACCAGAAGAGGGCAUCUCUGAUCUACCGAUUCACCACUGAACGGCUUUGGCUUUCUUCUUCCCUAUAUAGUAAAAGAUCACUUGGAUUACGUUCCUGAGAGGCUGAGAUACCAGAUCUCUUGGUUUUUCAAACUUUAAAGAAAGAAAUUAGGGCAGAAUACAUGGUUCUUUACUUCUUUGCUUUUGCUAUUAGUUAAGUUAAUACACGCACAUACAUGCUGGGUCUCGCCCGGGUCAACCGCGUCAUGGGUCGACUCGCUGAGUUCAUCGAGUUUUGCUGGUUUUUUAUAAUUUUUGGUUUUUUAUCUAAUUCGAACUGAUUCAAACACCAAAUCAACUGGGUUUUAGGUUGACUCACUGAGUCGGUCCGGGUUUAAUAAGCUUAGAAUCUCUUAACAAAAUUUAAAAAGUCUGAAAAUUAAGAGCUUUUUUACCAGGUUGAUUACUCUGCGGAACCUAUACCUCUACUUAGAUUUAGCCAAGUGAUCCAUUGCUUGUUGAAGGCUGAAUUGCCGACAGGCUUCGGACUUGAUAGUUUGUUGGAUAGACUACCGAUUCCGGUAACUAGUCUAGCUUUGAUGUCUUGUUUAUGUUCAUUUCACUAGUUACCAUGGUCAUGUCCAACAACUUGGUGAAGGCCCCAGCAUGACUCAGUGACGGCAAGGCAAGGAAAAUUAGGGAAUGAAUUAGGCAAACAUUCUCUUUGCCUAAUUCAUUACAUUAUUAAUAGCACUCCUGUGUUGGCGUUCCUGAGCACAUGAUAUCAAUGCACUUGAUUAGAGAAAUGUACAAAACUUGUUCUUUUAUCUGGUAUUAACAUACAAAAUUUGUUUUCCAAGAGGUUAGCACUGAUAGAAUGUUUCUUAUUCUUUGUACAUGUACAGCUCAGUUAAGUUAUCAGAAUUAUACACCACACUCCAGUAAAUGCCGCCUCGAUGCCUAUGCUUCUGAAAGAUCUACUUUCUCAUUUAAUGGAGUCACUGAUUCAGGUGAUGGAUUCUGAACUUUAGUUUCAGAUGGUUGGGAUUCAUGCUUUGCAGCAGCUUUCAGCCCCCGGUUUUGAACAUCUGAAGAUGAAGGUGAUGUAGGUAAAUUUCCAGUUUUCCUGCUGCACAUGAAAAUGCCUGGACUCCAAGUCUAACAGAAGAGAGCAAACGCCUUCAAAUAAGCAUUUGAAAUCCGAGUUAAUCAAGAUCUCGACAAUCCAAAAACUUGGUUAAACAUGAUCCAACAAGUGAAAAGAAUCUAACUGUGAAAAUGAUUAAAUAACUUCUAAAUGUCUGGUGGAGGUUAGGAAAUAUGAACCUUGAUACUGU
rnacentral:lncRNA from 1 species